ACGGUAUAUCUGAAGUCACGACCUAAUAAUGUAUUUAACUUAAGAGAGAUGACUUACAUGUUUUGGUAUGUCCAGAAGUAACUAUCACUUUUGAAACUAUCGAAGGUGCUGUACAAUCUAGAAACAAUCGUUCACCUGCACUUCAAAUAUCAUUACAGAAGAUAAUAAGCAUGAAACUUCAUAAAAUUGAUCAAGCAAGUGGCCUUUCGUCAAGAGGAACUACAAAUGUUCUUUUUUUACUUUUUCAAGUCUCUACGAAAAUCACUAUGGUAAAAAUUUGCAGUAAUUAGAAAUUAAGUGCUGACUAGGUGAAUUCUGCCAUAAAUAAUUGUUUAGUCGACCGCACUUGCGAAAUAAAAAUAAAUACCGAGUCAGAUUCAAAGAGUUUAUUUUAGCAAUAACAUUCAGAUAGGAAAUGAUGGAGGUGUUUAAGUUUCAAAGAUUCAAUUUUAACUUGCAGAGUUCCAGUUCAACAAAACAGAAAGGAUAUGGCAAAACAGAAAUCUUACAAAUCUUUUUCAAAUUUCUUACUAGAAAGAUUUUAGUUAUGCUGACUUCCAUCUAAUACAUUAGGAGGGAGAAAAAAUACACCUCUCCUUUGCUUCGAUCCCGGCAAUGGUUUCUGAGUGGAGAACCAUUGCGUAUCCAACUUCUCGAUACCUUUAACUUCAAAACUGACGUUAUCGAUCAAGAGCGAACUAAAGUCCUCCUUCUCAGUAUCCUCCUUAGAACUUCUCGGGCUGCAAAUCUCUAUAGUAGCAGUGACCGAAUCACCAGGCCUAUAUAUCUCCUUAUCCGUCUGAACCUUCAAAGUCGGAGAUGCUUCCUGCUUGGCCCCCGAGGUCUCCUUCUUGUCAUCAAACAAUCCCAAGCUUCUAAAGAAGGCGAAGCUCUGAGAAAGUUUCAGUGACAUUUCCUCGAACACGUAAUGCCCAUCCAAUCACCUUCUCAUCCAAAAGAAUUCACCAUCUAGGGCCAUUUUCAUCUCCAAUUUGCUCCAAAGUUACGAUCAUUGAUAAAUUCUCAGCACUAUAUCACUCAAGCGAAGAUUCGAUCUGCAAAGUCAAAAAGCUCGACAUCAUCUAAAGCGUAUAGUUUAGAAAUUUCAUAGUGUAAAAAUUAGAACUAUCAAAAUUCCACAAAUUUCCACAUUUUAGUGCGCACACUAAGAUCUACUCCGCGGGGGGGGAAAACCAUCAUCUAAACGCAUCCGAAUUACAUAAUUUGUACGCUAGAAUGUCAUAGAUCUCAUUUUACGGCCGUCGAAACGAAAUAUUCCAUUGCUAAACAAAAUUAACAACCGAUCGCGCAUAAUUAGGGUACGAGUUCCACCAAACUGAUCAUAAAAUCGCACGGAUCAGUGAAGAAACAGCGCGGAUUCAAAUCAAAAACGAAGUAGAAAUCUAUGAAAAAGCAUAGAGAUCUGAGGGAGAACCGAGAAAGAAUCUUCCACGGAUCUUAGAUCGGAUCAGAGCGCGCUUCGAGCUUCGAUCGAUCUCAGUGCUCGCGACGAGUCGAAGAGCGUAGGACCGAGAUCGAGGCGGAGGAGGAGAGGAGGUGAGAGGUGGUGGGGUUACCGUCGUCGUGUAUGAGUUCCUCGUUGUUUUCGUGUUUGUUUUUGAGUAGUAGAGAGAAAAAGAGAGAGAGGGUACAGUGGUUGUUGGGGGGUGUUGGAUACUUGGAUCCAAGCGGGGCUUCUUCGUGGGGAGGGAGGUAAGGUUACCGGUUGUGAGAGGAAGAGUUUUUUUUUUUGCAUUUAGCCUCCUAAAAAAAUUAUUUUCACAAAAAACUCCACCAAAUUUAUAAUUAUAAUUUUGCCCUGUCCCCACCACGCAGGCGCCAUGUAAGCGCCACGCGAGCAAAGAUGGAGACGCUGGAAUAAGUUAAACACGGUAAUUCAUUCACCGUGUCUAAACACGGUGAAUGGUUCGCCGUGUCUAUUGUCUUACAAUGUUCAACUUAAUACUCCUCUUUAGCCAGCUUGCCUGACGCUGACACGGUGCCUACGUCGCGGGAAUAGGAUCAAAAUUAUAAUUAUAAAUUUGAUAAGGCUAUAUGUGCAAAAAACUUUUUUAAAGGGCCAAAUGCAAAAAGAAGCUCUAGAGGAAGAUUAGGAUUUUAUGUGUCCACUAAAAUGUUUAACUAUUUUAUAGAGUAGGUCUUCUGUGCUCAACUCUAAUUAUUCUUAUCCUUACUAUUUCAGUAUAACUAUCCAAAUGUUAUUUUUCUUAUUCUCGAGAAAAAUCUAGUUUUCAUCCAAACGCAAAAUUAAUUUUAUUUCCGCUUAUCCCAAGAGUUGUGCAUAUCCCAUGAAUAAUCUAAAAUAGCUUAUUUCCGAACCAAACGAUAUCAUUUGUUUUCAGCCAUUUGAUGAAGGGAUGUGCGGUUAGGAUAAUAGUAGUCUCUGGUUAAGUAGAUAGUAAUUCCCUAGGGUUGAGUGAGUGGUUGGUUAAACAGUAUGAUCUAACGGAUGGAAAUGAUUAAAGGAAUAGAUCUAAUGAUCGAAAAUUAUAAGUACAAAAAGACCUAUACUCAUAAAAGUCUAGUAACCGAACUCUGUUUAUUUAAUACAAUAUAAUUAUAUAGUGUAAUAAAUAUAAAUGAAUUUAAUUAAAAAUAUAAAGUAAUAUAAUAUUUUUUAUAUUAUAUUAUUUCGUUAUAAAUAAUGCAAUCACCGUAUAAUCACAAACAGGCAAACAAAGCCUUAACAAUAAGGGGUGAAAAUGGUCGGAUUUUUAACAAAAUCAUGCAUGUAUAUUUUUGGGAAAACUUCAAAAAUCUUCCCUGUGGUUUCACACUUUUUCAUUUUAGUACCCUGUGGUUUAAAGUUUAUCAAGUUAGUACUCUGUGGUUUCUUACUUUAUUACUUUAGUACCCUGUGGUUUAAAGUGUAUCAAGUUAGUACCCUGUGGUUUCUCACUCUAUCACUUUAGUACCCUGUGGUUUAAAGUGUAUCAAGUUAGUACCCUGUGGUUUUGCACUUUAUCACUUUAGUACCCUGUGGUUUCACACUUUAUCACUUUAGUACCCUGUGAUUUAAAAAACCACAGGGUACUAACUUGAUACAAAUUAAAACCACAGGGUACUAAAGUGAUAAAGUACAAAACCACAGGGUACUAACUUGAUACACUUUAAACUACAGGGUACUAAAGUGAUAAAGUGAGAAACCACAGGGUACUAAUUUGAUACAUUUUAAACCACAUGGUACUAAAGUGAAAAAAAUUGAAACCACAAGGGGGGUUUUUGAAGUUUUUCCUAUAUUUUUCUUCCGACGUUCGGAUAUGGAUAUAUGGUCGAAACUAAAUAUAAUUUUAACAUAAAAUUUAUAGUAAAAUAAAUUAAAAAAACCCCGAUAAAAAGUCACUUUAUUCAUUCUACAAUAUUUAAGAACAUUCCUCUUAUUUCUUAAAUGUCAAAACAAUUAAAUACAGUCAAAUUUUAAAAAAAAUCAUAUUCGCAUCACAUAUGUAUAUAUUUUUUCGAAUGCGAAUUCGAAUACGAAUAUACGUCGAAUAUUAAAUUUUAAUAUUAAUGUAGGCAUCCUAUUGGACUCCGGAUUGGAUCGAGUUUAUCCUAGGAUAAAUUUCAAAUACUAUUCCUAUGAUUUCGUAUGUUCCCACUUUAGUACCUUUUGGUUUAAAGUGUAUCAAUUUAGUACGCUAUAAUUUUCUUUUUCUCUUUUUGUCGAUUCUUUCAUUAACUUUUCAUUAAAUCAUAUACAAAAACUUCAGAUACCUCACAUAUAGUUUACCUUUUAGUUUUAACAUUGUCACUGAUUUAACGAAAAAAAUUAAUAAAAGGGAUAACAAAAAGAGAAAAAUAAAAUCAUAGGGUACGAAAGUGAUACACUUUAAAUCACCGGAUACUAAAGUGAGAAAGUACAAAACCACAGGGAUGGUAUUUGAAGUUUUUUUUUUUAUCCUAACUAGGGAUGUCAAUGGGUACGGAUACCCAAAAUAUUAUCUGAACCUGAAUCCGAACGGGAUGGGUUUACUCGAGUUAAACGGAUAUGGAUUUGAUUAUGGGUAUAGAAAAUAAAAAUCCGACAAAUAUGGAUACGGAUAUGGAUUUUAUAUUUAUCCAACUCGAACCUGAACCCGAAUUUAUUUAUAUAAUAGAUAAAAUAUUUAAUAAUUUUUAUCCAUUAGAUUUUCAUCCAACGCUAUGGAUUAUUAAAACCCUUCUAGUUCGGGUCCGGGUUCGACUUUCAGGUUUUUGGUCGGAGACGGAUAUGAGUAUGAAUUUUUUAAACCCACCCAAUUCGGGUGGGAGUUUGGGUUUUAAUUUGAUUUUCGGGUUUGGAUUCGGGUUUUUGAAAACCCGACCCAAACCUGAUCCGUUAACCUCCCUAAUCCUAACCACCACUUUCACCUCAACUUAACAAUGGAAAUUGAGAUGGGAGCGGAUCCGGAAAAUUGUGAUCCGACCCGCGCCACUUCCACCAUUUCAAAACUGAGAGAAGAUGCUUCUGCUCGAACUCCCACUAUAAAUAUAUGGAGUGAGCGAAGAAGCCAAAAAGGAAGAGUCGUCGGAAAAAAAAAAAAAAAAGAGAAAAAAAGAAUCGCCAUGAUCUUCGUCGAUGGAGAAUCCAUCUCCAUCUCCGCCCCCAAUUCCCAUCUCAAGGUCUCUCUCUCUCUCUCUCUCUCUCUCUCUCUCUCUAGAAUCGACGAGGACGAUGGAGGAGUAGAGAUCUCGGUGGAGCUCAAGAUGGUUUGUGUGGUCCUUUUUUGAUGCAGGGGAGGGAGAUCGUGGAGUUGCUGUUGCGGAACCCUACUCUGAUCGCCGCGUCGGAGCGGCUCAAAUCCAUGCCGGUGAGGAGGUUCUCGAUCUCGCCGCCGUGGAAGCACGUGUACGUGCUCCAGAGGGAGUACGCCACCGUCGAUCCCGCGAUCGUCAAGGUAUGCUGGGGAAAUUAGGGUUUGGGUGGGGGAGUUUGAGUUCGUAAGGCCUUGUUUGGACGUGGGAAUGAGUGAGUUCUUCAGUUAUAGUGAUAAUAACUCAUGCAUUGUUGCCCUGUUUGGAUUCUUUCUUUUUUUUUUUUGUGAUUAUAAGCUAAAUGUUUGAUAUUUGUCCUUGAAUGGUCUCGUUCUCCGAUAAGGAAGUGUUUGGUUCCACGAAAAAGCAUGAAAAGCUAUUUUUCAGGGGGAAAAAACAAAAAAAAAAAUCAUGGAAAAUCCCUUUUUUUAUUUUUUCGCCCGUUUUUUAUCGGAAAAAGGAUAACACUAUUUUACUAUGAAACCUGGAAGAAACUUUUUCAGAAAAUCUAGUUUUCCUGGGAACCAAACGGGUGAAAAUUUAAGUGGGGUUUUCCAUGGGAAUUUUUUUUUUUACUCGGAAAACAGUUUUCUACACUUUUGUGACAAAACCAAAUACCCCCUAAGAUAGUAUAUUUCACCUAAAACGAUGGGAAAGUCGAAUAUGAUAUGCACCAUUCUAUACAUUUCAUCGGCACUCCUCAUCUACCAAAUACUACAAGCUUUUUGAGUAAAUUAAAGAGCUAUCCUGAACAAGAUGUUUAUGCGGCCAAACAGACUUUAUAAAGAUUUUUUUGUGUGAUUGCAGUUUAAAGAGCUAUCCUGAACAAGAUGUUCGUGUGUCCAAAGAGACCUUAUAAAUAUUUUCUUGUGUGAUUGCAGUUUAGGAGUUUGAUUUUAGCUUCUUGAAAGGUCUUGAUAGUUAUGAUUUUGGGGAGUAAUGUAAUUCGCCUGUAAGGUAAUUUAUCUUAUUUCAAGAAAGUGACUUGAAUGCCAAACAUGGUAUGCCUUUUUAGACAUUUUAUCAUACUUUUCGAUUACCAAAUACAACGCUUGUUACAUAAAUAAAAGUGAUGUGCUGAAUAAGAUGUUCAUGCAUCCAAACAGGGUUACUGAUGAUAAGAACACUAGUAUUUGAUAGCUUAAGCUUUUGGACAAGAAAAUGGUUAUUAUACCAGUGAUAGCUUUUCACGCUUCUGCUUUUCACUUACUUUUCUCCCAUUUACUUCAAGAAGCCAUGUGCUCGGCUUAUGUCAAAAUUGAUCCACAAGUGACCUGGAUUAUUAAAUAUAAAUGAUUACAACACUUAUCUCUACUAGCCUAAGCUUCUUGAGAGAACUGGGUGUUUUGCCACAACCAUUAAUAGAACACUUGGUAAACAAAAACAGUCUGAAGCUUCUAUGGUGGCAGGAAAUAGAAUUAUAAUUUUUCUGGCAUAUAAAAUGAUACAACAUAUAGAAUAGUUUAAACUUUAAAAUUGACAUUUUACUCAGUAUUAGGGCAAGAGAUUCCAUUCAAAUCUUUUCGAGCUCCUAGUCAUUCUAAUUUCCUCCGAUUUACUACAGAAGUCACUUCUUGAGGCUGGGUCAAAUCCACCUAUUCAUGUUGGGACUGUUGAGUAUAAAUGAUUAAGACAUUGUUCUCUACUAGCUCUUUUUGGAGAAUAAUAGUUUCUUUACAAUUUUGAGGUCUUAAUUGGGCUUCCUUCUUGAUUACUUACAUUCCUCUCAUCAGCCCAUUUGUAGCACUCAUAGCUACAUCUCACACUCGAUUAUUUCCUGAUAAUUGCUAUACCUCACAAGUCACAUUAAUUUGCUGACUGACAAUAUCUGGACCCUUAACUACUAAAGCGUUACGACUAUUAGGCAUCGUGCCAAGGGAAAAACGACGGCUUCAAUUUGGAACCUGUAAUGUUGCUAUAGAGGGGAGCUGUUUGGAAGAUUUCAAUAUAGUCUCUUUCUCCCAGUAGCGCUACUCAGAUGGCAAUUCACCUUGCAGAAGAGCCAAACAGACCCUAAACCCCCCUAGUUCACGUUUUACAUUGGUGAAUCAGAAGUUCUUGUGAUAGUUUAUGUUGGUGGUUUCGAAUUGGGUUUUAGUCCACAGGUUAAUUAAUGGCACGAAUGUUUGUGCUUCUGAAAGGUUUAGAACGGAGCUAGUGUUCUUUUUUUUUUUUUAAAUCUUUUGAUUGGUUUCAAACCAUUAUAUUGCUCUUCUUAUAAACCAAAAUUUACCUUCUACAAUCUAGAAAUUCUCUUUCUUAGAUCCUUUUCUUAUAUUUUAUUGUAACUUCUCAGUUUCAUCCUGUAUGUCUUUGUCUGAACAAAUGCAUUACCUGAUGAGCAUCGCUCAGGCAUAUAGUUGAUUGAAUAUCACAGUAACAAUCCACUACGGUAGUUAGUAACUUUAUGCUUCUUUGUCCUUUGGUAGUUGGUGGGCACGGAUGAGGCAACUACAUGUGUUGGUCUUGUAAUUCGCAACCGGUAUACUGGAAUGUAAGAAUCGCUAUUGUACUCGCACACACACAACAUAAGAGUUGAUGAGGUUUGCCGUCUCAUUCUCUCAACCUCCUUUACAUUGAUUGCAGGACCUCUGUUAGCCAUAUGGACUUUCCUGGAGUUGUCGAUAGGGGCCUCGCCCAAAUGUUACAGAACCUUAGCGAUCAUGAAGCGGCAUUCGAUGUUUGUCUUUUCAUCCUAUAUUGGCGACAAGAACAACCUUCUUUUUCCCUUUCUGCCAUUCUCAUAUGAAAGGGUUUUUUGAUUGAUCAUUAUUCUUUAAUGCAGGUUCAUUUAGUUGGUGCUUUUGAUGAUUCGUCCACUAAAGUUAGACUCACUACCAAAUGACUAAAUUAGAGAUUUUCACUUAUACUUUUCUUUGGGGGUGGCUGAAAAAAAUCAUAGUUGACACGUAUUCAUGCAGCAUGUGGUCCACUCAGCUGGAUCAAAGGGAAACAAAAUACAGAAAGGAUAUUCUUUGCCUUUAUGCUGCAAAAUAGUUGAAGCUCUGCAGAAUAGCCGGGAAGAGUUUCAUCUUCAAACUCUGUGUAUUCUUGGGCAUAACACCACAACAGAUUCAUAUGGAAAUGCAAAGCCUAUUGUCGGUGGCUUUUGGGUUAGUUUUUGCUGUUUUCUUUGUGUCAUCUAUUUUUUUUUUUUUUUUUUUUAAAUCCUUACAACUCGAAAACUUUUUUGAACCUCUAUUCUAUUCCUAAAAGGAGAUUUAAUGGCUAUGUCAAUUUUAUUCUUUUGCUUCCCAUUUAUUUUUUGAAUUUUAAACAUAACCAGUAUUCUCUAUUUUUGCAUUCAAAUUGGAAGUUUCUCCUGCGUUGGCUUUUGGAUUUCUAUUUUGGUUUGGUUGAAACGAAAAGUUUGAAUUCUUUUUAAUAAACAUAAAGCGCUUCUAUUACUUCCGCUUUUUUCCCAUUUGGCCUAAACUUUCGCUUUCUUUUCAACUACAACCAUCGUUUUGAAUCUUCUACUGCAACACGAAGCAUAAAUAAGUUUGAAGCGAACCCAAAAGCAGGAGCUUCAAACUGGCACUUUUGCUUCUGAUGCAAAGUCGAACAACAAUUCGACCUAUAACUCAAGCCCCCAUUUUGCCUGCUAUGUAGCUUCUGCACAAUGAUGUUUUAGGAGAGGGGUUAGAAAAAGCAGCAACAGUUCUUAUUAUCAAAAGUCUCCCCAACAGCUUGCUGCUCAAGUAGAAGCAUAAGCUUCAAAUUAGAACAGCUUUUUAGGGUUGAGACGCUUGGAGCUUUUGGCAGAACAAAAGCUUCAGGCUUUCAUCUGCCAAACACUAAGCUGCUGCUACUCAGAGUAGAGGAGCAGUUCCAGAAGCUGAGCCAAGCCGGCACUUAAAAGGGAUUUUACUAACAUGUGAACACACUCUGCUGCUUGUAGGUAGACACUUCAACUGGUCUAAUGACGCCUGCAAGCUUUGAUACGAGUUCCAGAUGCCCAGAUGAAAUCGUCAGAAGAGUCCGCGUCAGCGUAUCCUCAGGCGAUCCCACUUGGGAUGGGAAGUUAUUAGAGACUUACGAUACGCACAACGAUAGAUUUCAAAUUGCUGCUUGCUCCUGGUAUUUUAUUUCCUACCGCCUCCAUUUUAUCUAUGAAAUAACAUGAAAUUGAUAAUAUUCAUAAAACAGAGCUAUCAGAGUUUCCGAGCAGUUCAUACUGAAGAUAGUAAUGAUCUCUCUAUUGCAUAAUGAGAAACGGUUGAAAUGUGUUUCUCCUGAUAUACAAGAGUGUUAAAUAAAAAAAUAUUUAAACAGCGCUCUCGUUUUAUAUGGUAUCAGAACAGGAGGUCAUAAGUUCGAGUUAUAUCAGGCUCCUAAUAUUAUUAAUUUUCUCCCAUUUAAUUCAAGCCUACGUUAUGGUCCUAGCAAAAAAAGUCUCGAGCCCAGAUAUGAGGGAGAGUGUUAAAUAUAAAAAUAUAUAAGUACAGUUCUCUACAAGCGUAAGCUUUUAGAAUACAAUGAUUGUUUCACAGCGAGACCUCCAAUUUCAAGAGCUAAAAUUUCCCAUUCUAUUUUGAUUGAAAUAUUUAAAAACGUUUUCUCGGAAAAGCAAAAGAAAUAAUUAAAAAACCUAGUUGUAUCUUUAGAGCAUGACACAGACUGCUUCUAUUGCUUUACUUGCCUGAAGUGACUUAGGUGGUUUUCAUUAAAACAUUUGGUCAGAGUUGUUUCUGAUUUAUAUAACUAAACUCUUAUGUUGACAAAGGCUUUAGGAUAUUCUAGCUACAUGGCAUUUUCAGGAUCCUAUAUGUAAAUUUUCCCCACAGGCUCUCUGAAUCAUUAUGCUUCUUAUAACAGCAGCUACUAUUAGAAAAAUUUUGCCGAGAAUAUGAAAACGGCUAUGGAAUAGCAGUAUACUUUUAUAAUAUGCCAUUUUGGUUAAUCCUUUGUGGGUUACUUUAAUCUUUGUUCCGCAUUCUGUCAUUCUGCUCUUACAGGAUGCCGUCUGAAUGGAAGCGAACAGCCCUUUCACUGCAGCGUCUCUCAGACACGGAAAUCCUCGUCCAGUGUUCUACCUCACCUUCUGCAGAGCCUCCUGAUUUUGUUGAGAACCAAAGGAGGUCUUUUCGCAUACGAGACGCCUCAAACUGUUGGAUUUUGCGUUGCUGGUCUAUGACAUGAUUUACAUUUUCACGUGUUCUUUCAUUGACGCAGGAUAUGGAACUACUUGAUUGAGUAUCCAGAUUGGAGCCAUACUUUUCCAGGAAGAAAACCGCGUGUAUUUGAACGAGCGGCCAACGGAGGGUGGUCCAGGUGUGGAUAAUUUACCAUCUUGCCAAUUUCAGCAUGAUUCGUUUCUUCACAACGGUACGUCACUGGUUGAAAUUACGUAGUUGUCGCCUCUGCGGCACUCUGAAACAAACUAAAAAUUGCAUGUUUGAGCUCUCGGGCUCAAAAUCACUAGAAGAGAAUGUUCUACGUUAAAACUCUGUGCUCGUCGAGAUUCGUAGCUGCCGUGUAAUAUUGAGUAAACUUGUUGUACAAACAUAAAAAAGAUUGUAAAACUUUUUACUGCAUAAACGAAAGACCGUGGAACAACAUAGUAAGCCAAUAUUUACCGCAGGCGAUAUAUAGUUUCAUGCAGUGUUCACUUAAACGACUUAUUUAUGCAUGCUGCUCUGGGGUUCAUCGCGGCUUUUGAAAUUAGAAAUAGAAUAAUGUGCUUGCUGAAAAAGUACUUAAUCUGAUCAUCUGUUCGGGGGUUUAUCAGGUAGGUUAGAAGUUAAAAAAAAAAAUAAAAUACAAGAGCUUAAGAAUCUGCCCAUAAAAACCACCACAGCAGCGGCACCAAAUAACAAUCAACAACAUCAACUGUGAAAGGAGCAUAGAAAAGACACAGACACCCCAACAGUAAGCAUGAUGUAAAAGAGCAUAAGGUAUGUAAGAUCAAGCAUAAGAAAGAUUCUCCCACAUUCGAAGGCUAAGAUGUAUAGCAAAGAAAUGCACCACACCUUUCUCAUGCAACUUCACAUUUUAAGCAGUAGGGAACACAUCUCGGGCGCGCACACACAUACAUACUUGUGUUCAAGGAUGCGUUUUAAUCCUAGGUAACCAGAAAACCUUGGUUCUAACAAGAUAAUUUGGUAAUGACUCCCAUGUUACGUGGAAACACAUUAACACAUGCGACAACCAUAAAAAACCCAAUUUAACCACACUACGCUACGACACUAAAACGGCUGGCAGAAAAGGCGAGACAGUCGAAAGAGGCGGCUGCCGCGGCUGCUGCAAAAUAUCUUGAUUACUCGUUCUCACAUCAUAUAAACCUGCCAAUACGAAACAAAAGGAAAGAAAGAGAAAGCAAAGCCUCGAAAAGAUCCUACAAGAGAGAGAGAGAGAGCUUAAAACUCCUCGAAAAACCGCUGGCAUGGAAGCACUUCUCAAACAGUAGCUUUGCGCAGCUCGCUUUCUCCAUGAGCAAAGUUGCACCGGUCCCCGAACGUGCACGAGCCCUUUGCAAAAUUCUCGCACAGCUUGGUCUUGAAGCUGCUCUCCUUCCCGCCGUGGGAGAAGGCACCUCCCCUACCGGGCUUUCUCCCGGCGGCGGGAGCAGCAAAGGCGGAAGCAGCAGCGGGGCCGCUUAUGCUGACGAUAAGCUCCCUCACCAUCGAGCUCGCGUCCCUUAUCUGAUCGAACGUCCCCUCGAGCUCGAUGUUCUUCAAGUUGGGGUCCGACUCAUGGUCGCGGAUCGCCAGCCUGGCGCCCGUCACCCUGCAUAUCUGUUUCGUGUUCACCCCGCCCUUUCCGAUGAUCGCCCCCGCCAGCGACGCAUCGACGCUGAUCUUUGCGGUGGCCGAGGCGCCGAAGCUCCCCGGGGCUCCUCCCCCCAUCCCACCAUAGGCCUCCGCCGGCGGCGGCGGCAUAGGGUAUUCGGGGUGGCCGGAGAAACGACCGCCGCCGCCUCCGCCACCGCCACCCAUCUGAGGCUGCAUGGCCGCAUCAGGAAUGGGUUUUCCGAGCUCUCUCUCUCCGUGGGCGUAAUGGCACUUUUCGCCGAAUCUGCAGCCUUCCGCUGUGUUGUACUUGUUGCAGAGGCGGGUCUUUACGGCUGGAGGCGCAGAGCCAGAAUGGCUGUCGGGAAACGCAGGAGCCGGUGGAGCUAUUCUCCCCGGGGGAGGAUUAGCAGGAUUGGGUAGGUUGAGCAUGUGCGCGACAGCCUGGUAGCCACCUGGGACGUAGUGCAGGAAAUGGCAGUUCUCGCCAAAAGGGCAACCCGAAGUGCUGCAUCAAAGUCACAAGACCAUCAGGCUUUUCAAAUUAUAAAAAAAAUACAACACAGCAGUGUAGGCUAUGUACAUCAGAUGAAAUCAUCAACCAUAAGAAUAGUCUCGAUUCGACUUAUUAACGAGAUUCUUUAGUGAUAUCAAUGAAGAGUUGCAGUUUCAUUCAAUUACGAUUCGUUCAUGUGCAUGGCAAAGUGAAAACAACUUACAAAAAUAACUAUUGAAUGGAAUGACAAAGUGCAGGAAUACAAAAAAUCAUAACCAGAGGAGAAACAAAUCACAUGCUAACUCGUCGAAGACGUCCAGGAUAUAAAACAAAAAGGUUGCAUCAUAUGAGGCAGCAUACGAUCUAGUUGUUUUAACAAGCGCGGUUAAAAUAAAAAAUUUUCAUUUUCCACGCCACCAUUUUAAUUUUAAGGUACCAUGAGAGAAAACAACAUGCAUUUCGUUUACUUAAAAGAUCCAAAAUCAUUGUGACUUGAAAAUAUACUGAAAAGAGGUAUAAUCAAUCAAAAUAACAAUUCAAGUGUAAUUAUAUGAAUACAGCUAUAGCAAUUUACCCUCGAUCAUAAAAAGCAGGGAGAAGUAUUUAUGAAGCCUACUACAAUCAAUGACUUCAAAAUCAAAAUGCGCACACUAAAGGCAACUCCUCUCUAGACAAGCGCACAGAGGGAAAAGCUACGAGGAUAUUACCAUACAAGCUACAAUAUCUGCAAAAACACUAUAAAGACCAACCGAGGCAAAAUUGUCAUUUUCAAGGAUAGCUAGAAUGAUCGCACGCCCAAAUCUGUACUUAGAAACAGAUUGACUGCAAAUUCAUCUCAAGGUUCAUAUCAUUAGUCAUCCUGCAAAACUGAAAUAACGUCUUGCACUUUCCAAUCUAAGUAUUUAAUUAUCUCCUGAGUGCACUAUUUUAACUAACAAAUUUAUUUUUAGUUCUCUUCUGGAUAAACCAUUUCAUAUUUUUAAGUUCAAUAGGCACAGCAAUAACCUAUUCUACAGAAGGACCUAGUUAGCAACAAUCCACAGGAUUUUGCUGCAUCGUUCUAUAUAGAACUAUUCAUUUACUCUCAAUUCAUAAAACCCUUUCCCAUAAACAGGAUGCACAAGCAGUUUAGGGUGGCGUGUCCUAAGAAAAAUAUUUUGAAACCAGGGCGAUUACAUCUCAUGUUUUCUCCUUAUCAUCCCUUCUUACACUGCCUGUUCAUUCUGUCAAGCAUUACUUCGUCUCAGCCUCGCCCUCUAUCUCUUUUCUUACACCUGUCUGCUCCACCAAAAUGGUGCAUAGGAGGUCUCCAUACAUUUUUGCCCAAAAGAUAUGAACUGACACAAAUUUUACUUUAUGUAUUCAGACCUUUACUGACAGAAACAUAAAAAAGACAAAAACCUGGCAAUAAAAUUUUGACAAUGUACCAUGCAGCCAGUUAUUAAAGUCUCAACAUUAAACCCAGUACAGAACAAACAUUCCAACCAUCUAAUAAAUGUUAAAUUGCUUUUCUAACAUAAGUUUGCUACGAAAUCUAGCAUGUACAACAAUCCAAGAUGCCUAUGAAAUGACAACCAUAUGCAAGAUCAUACAAUAUGAAAUAUUUAGAUGCGCAAACAACAAGAAAUUAUAUGGAAUUAUAUUUAGAAAGUGAGUAUCAUAUGACAUAUCGAUUCCAUGUAAUUCGAGUUCCCGCGUUCUAUAUCGCUUGCCAUUUUCAUACAGAAGGCACAAUUAUGAACACCCAUAUUACCCUGUUCAAGAUUGUUAACAUGAUUUGAGCAGAACCUGUAUCACAAUCUUUAGUGACCAAUUUGUUAGCACCAAAUAUACUAAUUUUGGAUAUGAAAAGUUUCCACAACUUACAAUUUACGUGCUGAAAAUAGAGGUUGCAUUUAUGAUGUCCAUUAUAGAUAAGAUUUGAACCUGAAAAACUUGGUGCAAGGCUUCGAUUUGCUUCCUACACCAGUUUGAAACGACUCCUUUUCUGUUGCAUCAAAUUAAUUGUGUGUUCUUAGUCAAUGUAAUAUUAAUUUACUGACCUUAAUAGUUCAAUUACAAAUUAAACAUCUCAAAAUUAUUAAAAAUACAAAUAUGUGAAAGGUUUGCUUUCAUAUAAGAUGCUAGUAUAUCCUCUAUCCAAGAAACUGAAUAUGAUCUAGGAAAAGUAUUUAUUUACAACUUAGAACCGAUUUUUUUUUAACUCUCUGCAAUGAUAAAGAUCACCCUUCACAAUGUAGUCGCUGGGUUUUAUAGAGUAAAUUGUCGCUUAAGUAGUGAAACACAAAUGGCCAAUGGUGCAAAAAGAUCAAAACUGAAAAGUUAAUUAUGUACAAACAUAAAAUCUAUGACUUGGACUAAAUAUUAAGACACAAAUUUUAUUUUCACAUAAUUUCGAUUUUAGUCAAUAAAAUUUUAUGGUAAAUCAAAAUAAACCCCAAUGGAUUUUUAGAACAGUUCUUAAACCCUAAUAUCAUUAGAACCCAAAAGUUAAACCCUUGAGUCAUUUGAAGAGAAAAAAAAACACACACAUACACACUUGGAUAAGAGAACAUCUGUAGAAUACAAAUUUCAGGGAAAAGAGAAAAAUCUGAAUACUACUACAUAACCCUCUCACACGACGCGAUGUAUUAUGAAUUAAAAAUUAAUCAUAAAAAUAUAAGAGUAGAAAAGAGUUCAAAAAGAGAAGAAGAAACACACGAAUCCAGAAACUGCGUGGAACUCGCACAUUACCAUACAAAACCCACCAAUAGCAACAAUAAGCUAAAUAUAAACAAUUUACACUAAUUUUUCUAAUAAUAUGCAAUACAAAAUCUUGUCGAACCCUACAAACCCUAUCUCCCCAACAAAAUAACCCAUGAGUCCAUACUUUUCCCCAAAGAAAACAUCCUGAAGAAGAAGAAGAAGACGAAACCACUAACGAAACCAAGAAGGAAGCAAAAGGAAAAAAAAAAAAAACUACUGAUCCCCUUCCUCAAGAAACCCUAACAUCCUCUUCCUCAAACAAAACCCCUUGAAGAAGAAGAAGAAGAAGAAAACACUAAGAAAUCACAGAAAAACACGAAGCAAAUAACCAAUCGAUCCCGACUCACCUCUCGACCUCUUCGCGGCGCCUCCGUUCGCCGCCCCUACCCUCCCCCUCUUGCGACCUCCGUCCAUGGCGACGUCCGUAUCCGGAUCAAACAGCCUCCCACAAUGAAGAGAGAGAGAGAGAGAGAGAGAGAGAGAGAGAGAGGGAGAGAUCCAAGGAGACGAGCACGAAACCCUAGCGAAGCGGAGGAAGCGGAGAGCGAAACCCUAGCUAGGGUUUUUUUUUUUUUUUUUUUUCCAACGGGAGAGACGAAGAGGCUCGGGGGAAAACAAAAAAUAUAUAUAAAAAUAAUAAUAAUAAAAAAGAUAAAAUAAAAUGAGAGGCGUGAUUAAGUGGAGCGGAGAGAGGGGGGUAUUUAUAGGGCGGACGCGAACCGUUCGAUUAGAAUCGGGUUAAUUGGAUGCGGAUUCGAGUCCGAAUAGCCAAAGCCGAUGAGGUCACGAGAUUCGGAAAAGGUGUAUGAAAUGCACGGGAGAUUCGUUGGCCCCUGCCACGUGGCGCCAUCGCAAUGGUCGUGGUCUUUAAUUUUUUUAAUACUUUUUUAUUAAUUGCUGUUUAACGGAUGUGAGCUCGACACGUGUUUUUUUGGGGUAAGCUUCAAAUACCCCUCGUGGUUUCAUUCAUUCUUACUUUAGUACCUAUGAUUUAAAGUGUAUCAAAUUAGUCCAUGUGGUUUUGCAUUUUUUCACUUUAGUACUCUAUGGUUUAAAGUGUAUCAAGUUAGUACCCUGUGGUUUCAUUUUUCUUUUUUUAUUAUCUAUUUCACUAUUUUUUUUGUUAAAUCGGUAACAAAGUUAAAAUUAAAGGGUACUAAAGUGAAUAUUCGAUGAAUCUAGAUAGGGUAUCUGAAUUUUUUUGUAUAUAAUUUAACGAAUACUAACGGAGGAAAAAAUAUCAAUGACAAAGUUAAAACUAAAGGUACUAAAAUAAAUAUUCGAUAAAUUUAGGUAGGGUAUCUGAAGUUUUGUCUAUAAUUUAACAAAAUAUUAACAGAGGAACCGACGAAAAGAAAAAAAAUGAAACCACAUGGUACUAAGUUGAUGCACUUUAAACUACAGGAUAGUAAAGUGAAAAAGUGCGAAAUCAUAUGGUACUAACUUGAUAUACUUUAAACCACAUGGUACUAAAGUAAAAAGUGCGAAACCACAAAGGUGGUAUGUGAAAAUUUUCAUUUUUUUGAAUUAAUUGCAUGCAACUCUCUGUGAAUAUAACAAAUAGUAAAUAUAUCCCUACAAAAUUCAACUUUUAACUCUUAUUUUUGUAAAAGUCGAGUGAUAUUCANACCGUUCGAUUAGAAUCGGGUUAAUUGGAUGCGGAUUCGAGUCCGAAUAGCCAAAGCCGAUGAGGUCACGAGAUUCGGAAAAGGUGUAUGAAAUGCACGGGAGAUUCGUUGGCCCCUGCCACGUGGCGCCAUCGCAAUGGUCGUGGUCUUUAAUUUUUUUAAUACUUUUUUAUUAAUUGCUGUUUAACGGAUGUGAGCUCGACACGUGUUUUUUUGGGGGUAAACUUCAAAUACCCCUCGUGGUUUCCUUCUUUCUUACUUCAGUACUCUAUAAUUUAAAGUGUAUCAAAUUAGUCCAUGUGGUUUUGCACUUUUUUACUUUAGUACUCUGUGGUUUAAAGUGUAUUAAGUUAGUACCCUGUGGUUUCAUUUUUUUCUUUUUAUUUUCUAUUUCACUAUUUUUUCGUUAAAUCAGUAACAAAGUUAAAAUUAAAGAGUACUAAAGUGAAUAUUCGAAAAAUCUAGAUAGGGUAUCUGAAUUUUUUUGUAUAUAAUUUAACGAAUAUUAACGGAGGAAAAAAUAUCAAUGACAAAGUUAAAACUAAAGGUACUAAAAUAAAUAUUCGUUAAAUUUAGGUAGGGUAUCUGAAGUUUUGUCUAUAAUUUAACGAAAUAUUAACAGAGGAGCCGACGAAAAAAAAAGAAGAAGAAACCACAUGGUACUAAAUUGAUGCACUUUAAACCACAUGGUACUAAAGUGAGAAAGUGCGAAAUCACAUGGUACUAACUUGAUAUACUUUAAAACACAGGGUACUAAAGUGAAAAGUGCGAAACCACUAGGUGGUAUUUGAAAAUUUUCCUUUUUUUGAAUUAAUUGCAUACAACUCCCUGUAAAUAUAACGAAUAAUAAAUAUAUCCCUACAAAAUUCAACUUUUUAACUCUUAUUUUUGUAAAAGUCGAGUGAUAUUUAUAUUUGUCCCUCUGAUUUGUUACCAAGCUUCGUUUGGUUCGGAUAUAAGCAAGAACUAGUUAUACCGGGGAUAGGUACAAGAAUGGAUUUUCGUAGAAAUAAGGGUAUUUUUUUGUUUGGAUGAAAAUGUGAAUAUAAGCUGGAACUAGAAAAAUUGUGUUUGGAUGAAAAUCUGAGUAUAAGGUGGAAUAGUUGGCAGUUAUAGAUAGAAAAUAAUAAUUUUACCUCUAUAAUUGAAUUUAACAUUUUAAACUAAUAAUUUUAAAUUAAAAAUUUUAACUUUUAAAUUUUANAACUAAUAAUUUUAAAUUAAAAAUUUUAACUUUUAAAUUUUAAAAUUUGAAAUUAAAAUUAAAACUUAUAAUUUUCAAAUUUCAAAUUUUAAAUAUAAAAUUUUAAAUUUAAGAUUAAAUUUAAAUUUGAAAGAUAUAAAAUAUAAAAUUUUAAAUUUUAAAUCUAAAAAAUUAAAUUUAAAAUUUAAAAAUUACAAAUAUCAAAUUUAUAAUUUAAAAUUAUAAAUUUAAAUUUUAAAAAACUAAAUUAUAAAUUUUAGAAAUUUAAAUUUAAAUUAAAGAUAUCUCUCUUUCUCUCUCUCUUUCUCUCUCUCCACCCGGGAGGGGUGGAACAAGUGUUCCACCCCUUGUUCCACCCCUUGGGGUGGAACACUUGUUCCACCCUGGUACAAGGACACCCCUUGUACUAGGUUGGGGUGGAACAAGUGUUCUACACCCCAAAUUGUGUUUGGUUAUCCCUCCUCUUGUACCCAUUCCAAACGGAGUGUUAGAGAACUGUGUAGUUUUUAACAGCAGAUAAAUAAAAUAUCAAUUUUGUCAUUACAGAUAUGUUCCUCUAAAAAUUCCAACUGCUAUAAUAGUACAGAAAUAUCCUUAAAAAAUUUCUAUUGGUCAUCUUCUUUCUUUUUAUAACCCAAUCCAAUCCACCCUUAUUGCAAUCUCUUCUCUCACUUUAGGAAAUUGAAUGGUGGAGCAACAUGCAUUCGAUAGAGGCGAAGCAACACGUGUCGUAAAUGAAUGGGGACGGAAAAAUUCUAGUUACGAGUUCGAAACUAGCAUGAAGAGGGAGAGGAAGAGGAAGAGUGUUGGGCCGAUAAGGCGCGGCCAAGUAGUACACCGGUGCUCCACCCAACUCUAUUCUUUAAUGAUAAGGAUUUUAUUGUGCACUGGGAAGAUCGGAAGAAAUCCCAAGUAAUCACUGCGCGAAUUAAGGGAAGUUAUAGUAACCGCGAGUGGUUACACAAGCGGUUCUGAUCGGUCGAAAGUGGCCCGAGAAAACAGGGGUAGUAGCCGAUCAUGAGUAAACAAUAACUGAUUAACAAAGGCUGUCUAUAAAUAGGCCAAUAACGCCCUAAAAAAAUGUCUUUUUCCCCGAUGAUAGAAGACCGCCCUUAUUUUCUUAUAACUUCUUCGCAUUUUUCUAAGAGUAAUCUACCUGUAAUCCUUUACUUUCCUGCAUUUACCGCUUUUCCAUAGGAGUAGAAUUUUAGAUAGAUCAAUCGAGUCUGUAUGCUAUCAAGCACACUCGAUCUUUGUACUGUUUCGCCAAGUCAUUUUCAAUAUAUUUAAAAGGCAUUCAGCUCUUUCGGCCGACCAGUUGGUGUGUUGUUCCAUCCAUUCGGCUCAUCAGCCGACCCUAAUCCUGUGCAGCCCAUACAUUCAGCUCAUUCAGCCGAAUCUGUUUAGAGUGAAGGUUUUUGAACUCGGCUGAUAAAAUCCCUCAUCAGCCGAAUCGCUUGAUCCAGUUAAAGGGCGCAAACUUCGAGGGUCAUUAAUCGUAGCCGCUCCGAGUCCCUACACUCCUCCCGAGGAAGAUCUUUGACUGAGUCAAGGGUCAAGACAAUCGGCACCUAACAAAGAGAAAAGGAGGAAGAGGAAAAGUUUCCAGUGCUAGGGUUUUGAUUGAGAGAAGAAUGUAUAAUAUAAAUUUAUCUCAUUGACUAAGCAGGGUUACAUAUUUUAUCUAUGGUUAACUAAAUUUUUCUAACGGAUCAUAACGGCAGGAGUAUAUUUAAAAAUUUUAGAACUUUUAUAGAAAUAAUAUAAAAAAGUUAAACUUUAUAUAAAUAUAUUCGUAAUUUACUAUGUUAAAACAGAGAGUUGUAUGCAAUUAAUCUUUUUUUUUUUCUUUUGAUGGAUCAUGUGCACAAAAUUUUUGUGCAUUAAUUAAACUAAUUAGUUUAAAAAUGCAGUGCAUCUCAAUUAUUAGCUCCGCCAAAACAUUAAAUCACUGAUUCACCAUGAAUUAUUGACAAUAGAAACAUUGUUGAAUUAUUGAUUUGUUGUGUUAUUCACAAAAAUUGUGGAGAAUUUGAGUCCUCUUUGCUGAAAUUUUAAUUUAUUAUAAUUUUUAGGUUGAAUUUUUGGAAUCGUUACAUUCAAAUUCUCCCUGUAUAAUUUAAUUUAUUAAAUGUUGACACUCAUUGCUGUAAAAAUGAUAUAACAUCUUAAUUAUUAGUGCAUUAUCAAUCACAACACUGUUAAUCACUUUACAUUAGCAAUAAAUUAAUAUUCAGACAAGUAAAUUAAUUUAAUUAUAAUAAUUUUAAAAAUUCAACCCAAUAAUUAUAAUAAAUUAAAAAUUGAAAAUAAAAGUGUUACUUGAUUCAUAGUUUGAGAACCAAAAAGUGCAAUUUAUCCUAGUAUACAAAAUGGUGAAAAUAAAAAAAUUAUAGCAUUUUUCAACUUUUUUUUCUUUCAUAGUUGGCUUUGUAGUUAGCCAGGGUAAAGCCAAUAACAAUAUUGUGGAAAAGUUAUAUUACAGUCAAAUUUAAAAUUAUAAUGAAUCACAUUUAAAUUUGAAUCAAACAAUAAAAAUAAAUAUUUACGGUCGUAAAUCACUUUACUUAGCUCUUGUAAUUUUAGUGAAACAAACAAGCUUUAAAUAGAAAUGUCAAUAGUUGGAUUUGAAGAGUGUCUUCAUAAACCUGAACUCGAACUUAACAACCAAACUCGAAAUUUAUACCCGAACUUGACGUGCUUUGAAAAUCCAUAUCUAAAUCCGAACAUGACUGAAAACCAAAAACCUGAAGGUGAAAAUUUGAUCCUGAACCAAUCAUUUUUCUUUACCAUAUUUUAAAAUAUAUUACACUGAAGUCUAAAUAUUUUUUAAAAAAAUAAAUUCAAAUAUAACAUCAAACAUUUUUAAUUAUAUUACAUAUAAAAUCUAUUCUUGUUUGGGUCGGAUUUGAGUCGAGUACAAAUAAAAUUCAUAUUCGAAUUCAAAUUCAUAGAGUUUUUUUUUUUCCUUUUUUUUUAAUGGGGNGGUUUAGGGUUUAGGGUUUAGGGUUUAAAAAAUGAGUUAGGGCGCGGCGGGGGGGUGGGGGGUGUGGUGGUGUUGAUCGAAACUAUCUUACUUGCUAUUGGAGGACCAAAAUAUAUUUAUUGAUUUAAAAAAAAAUGAGUUAAUUGCAUACAGUUCUACGUAAAUAUAGCGAAUAGCCAAUGUAUCCCUGCGUUUGGUUGGGGGUUAAGGGGUGGAAUAACCUCUUAACCCUCAAUUUAUACCCAAACACCACUCUUUUGGGGUGGGGUUAGUAAACCCCACCCCAAACCGGGUUAGUGGGGUUUACUAACCCCACUCCCCCUCCCAACUUUAACCCCGCACGCAUCCCGAGCCCUCACCUUUUUCUUCUUUAUCAAUCAUUAACCCCACUCCCCCUCCCAACUUUAACCCCGCACGCAUCCCGAGCUCUCACAUUUUUCUUCUUUAUCAAUCAUUAUCUUCUUAUCCCAUCUACUCCAACCAAACACUUUUUUUCACUAUCCUAUACUAACUCCAACCUCCAACCAAACACAAAAAAAAUUUUAACACCAUUUUAACCCUGAACUUAACUCUAUCCCUGGAAUAGCUACUUUUUCUUAACCCCGAACCAAACGGGGGCGUAGAGUUUAACUUUUAAUAUUUAUCUUUACAAAAGUUCUAACAUUUUCAAAUGUACUCCCGAUGUUAGGAUCCGUUAGAAAAAUAUAAUUAACCAUUGGUAAAAUAUUUUACCCUAAUUAGUAAAUGAGGUAAAUUAAUAUUUUUACCAUUUUUAUAUUAUUUGUGAUGAUAAAAAGAAAGAAGAUGACUGUUAGAGAUUUUUGGGAGCAUAUUUCUAUAAAUUCUAACAGUUUGGGCUUUUGGAGGGACAUAUAUAUGAUGACAAAAAUGUCAUUUCACUUAUCUUCGGGUAAAAAGUAAAUAGUGCUAUAAUAAUAAUAAAUCAGAGAAACAAAUAUGAAUAUUAUAAGAAUAUUGUUGAAUUUUUACAGGAAUAAAUAUAAAAAAUUAAACUUUGUAGAAAUAUAUUUGUUAUUCAAUAUGUUUACAAAGAGCAGUAUAAAAUUAAUCCAAAAAUAAAAAAAAUUCUUUAGAUACUCCUAUUUUACCUAGGAUUUACUAAUCAAAUGGACUAUAAAAGGACAUGUUAAUAAUUUCAGAAUAAAUUUAAAAAUUUAGAAUAGUAAUAUAAAUAAGUAAAAGUUUUGACUAAAUUACAGAAAACUCUUCUUUAUAAAUAUCUAUUUUUUCACUUUUUCUAACUUUCAAAAAUCUACAUUUCACUCCCUCAACAUUUCAAGUUAUUCCAUUUAUUCUCCCUACGUCAGGGUUCCAUCACUAUCCUGUCCAUUUCUUAUAAUCUAUACAAAAAAUACUAUUCAAAAUAAUAUAAAUACUAGUGUACGCACCCGCGCGAUGCGGUGGAUAAUUACUGCUAAAGUAAAAAAAUUUUAAAUAAUAAAAUAUUAAUAUAACUAAAUAAAAUAUUACUAUGUCAAAAGGGUACAAUAUAGUCAAUUAUAUAGCAAUCGAUGCAACAGGAAAAAAAAUUAUUUUAAAUAAAUCCUAAUUAGAGUAUAUAGAAAUAUACUAAUAUAUACAAUAUAGAUUAUUCAUUCAUUUAGUCUGGAAUGUGUAAUGUAGUACGAACAAUAAUUGUGCAAGUAACAUAUAGCAUUUCUAUAACAUAUAGCAUUUCAAAAUGUCAUCUAUUCAUACCAAAUCGCUCAAAUUGAACAAAAAAAAUUCUAAUUAACCUCAAAAUAUUACUAAUUCUCGCCAAAUCACUCAAAUCUAUAUAAAAAAAAUAUUAUAUUUGAAAAAAAAUACUCACGGAUGGGAUCGGUGGCAUGGAGAUUGCAAAGGUGAUAUGUAUAGAGGAGGAUCGGCGCGAGAAUAUUCAAAUAGAAUUAAUCUUGUAAUGAUUGAUACUGAGAGUCUAAAUUUAAAAUCUAAUUAUUUUACAUAUUAGGUAAAUAUAUUUUAAAAUUUUAUAAAAAAAUUAACAAAAUGAAAGAAUGAAACAGUGAAUAUGAAUAAUUGGUCUAGUAAUCAAUUAUGAUUAUAAUUAUCCUUAAUUGAUGAAAUGUUAAUAUACAAAUAAUUGAUGAAAUAUUAAUGAAUCAUAUACUAUACGGCCAAGAACGUAUAGUUAGGGAGGAAAGGAGAGGGAAGGGGGUGGGGGAGAGAGAGUUAUUACAAAAAAAAUAGAAUUAAUAGAUGAAACGUUAAUAUAAAAUUAAUUGAUGAAACAUUAAUGAAUCAUAUAGAAGAGGAGUUAAUAAAUUAUUAUAUUAUAUUAUAUAUUAUUAUUAUUAUUAUGAGGAUGAAGUGUUUCUUGCCACGUGGCAAUAAACAUUGUGGUUUCAUUUAGGUUAAUAGAUAAUAGAUAUUAAAAAAAAUUUAAUAAAAGAAGUAAGACUAAUUUGGUCAUUUUAUUCUAUCUAUCUAUUAACACCGUAACCUUCUAAAAAUAUUUCUAAAAUUUUAAAAGGAAAAAAUAUAAAUUUUGAAAAUCAGAAUAAAAAAAUUUUGAAAAAAAGUAUUUACGAAAAAAAUUUCUAUAAUACGGUGAAUAAAUAUGUUUGGUUCGAAUUCGGAUUCCGAUUCGGAUUCGGAUUCGGGUAAAGUUUCAUUCGUACUCACCGUGCCCAAAACCCCAAAAACCCUAACCCUAACCCUAACCCUUACCCUAACCCGAACCCGAGCCGCAUCGAAAGCUCCGCUCUCUCUCUCUCUUCCUCUCCCGCCUCGGUGUCAUCGAACAACCAAAACCCUACUCUCUCUCUCUCUCCCCCUCCUCUUCCAUAAAAGCUCGACGAAGACGACGACACCGAGGAGGAUCUCAACACGGCUCUCCUCUCCCGCUCCACUCCUGCUCCGCAAGGUAAAAAAACCUCACCUUUCUCCAAAUUCCCGACGAUUCUACUGCAUUUCUGCAAAAAUUUCGGCAAGAUUUCUUCUGAUCUCGGUCCAGAGAUGCCUUUUUGCUUCUAAAUCCGUCGCAUUUCGUGUUUUCUUCAGCUUUUGGUGAUCGAAAGGAGGGAAAUGGGGGCGUCGGCGACCGCGGGGAUGCAAAUGGUAGCAGCGAGGCCGUGCGUCUUGUCGUCGCAGAGGAUUCUCGCGUCUAGGGCUUCGGUUUUAGGGUUUGAUCGGGGAAUGUGCGGGGAACCUCGCUUCGGGAGCUCUCGCCAUGUCUCCUCCGUUGGAUCUCUUCGGAUGAAGAGUGGUUUGGGGGCUCCUUUGAGGUGCAGUAGUAAGGUCGUUACGAGGGCGAUGUCGGAGGCGAGCGAGAAGAGUGAGGGUUUUGGAUUGCCCAUCGAUCUGAGAGGUAAAUUUCAAUUGAAUUGAAUAGGAUUUAACUAAAUUCUCUGCUAAAAUUCCGAUAAUUUGGUAAUUUAGUGACCAUUCCUGGUAAAAUUUGCAUCUCUUGUUGCUUGAUUGUAGGAAAUUUAAAAACAAUGGUUUGUUUUGCUUAUUAACAAAAACAAGUAGAUUAUUCUUCUGAUAUGUGAAGUAGUAUAUAUAAAUUUAUGCUUUAUAAUUUUUUUUAUUUAUACCACCUUUAUUUUCUCUGGUUGGGUAUGGACCUGCUCCACUAUGGAUCAUUCUCUUGGAGCAAAAUCUUAGAGGUCCAAAAAGUAAAAAAAUUUAAACCAUUGAAUAUGAUCUACAAAGCUACAUGUGCCAAAUGUUAAAAGUCAUAAUUUUUUUGGAACCUAUUUCUCAUGUAACUUACAAAAUGAACUUACAAGUCGGUGGCAUUGAUUUAAAUUCCAUGAUAAGUUCUGUAUAUGGGCCUCUUUUUCGGGACUUUUUUAUAAACUUCUUUUGUUUCCUGGCUAUAGGUUAAGAAAUCUAGUUCUACCUUGUGUCGAAGUAAAUACCAAAUAAUCUUAUUACGACUUGCCAGUUAGUUGGAUUGCAGUGUUGCCAUGGAAAACUUGUAGAUGUCAUGGCAUUAAACAGCAUAUAUUCUCUUUCUUUUUUGAAUAAUUGGUAUCAGGUUCGCAACCGAUUAAUCAUGUACCGAUGGAAGUAAAAAAAAAACAUAAAGUAGGAGUGCUAAUGAGAACAAGAAAAAAAACUGACAUUCAGCCCAACUAUGCUACUUGACUAAAUUCAAACAACAGCAGUUAUAUGGUGUGCUACUUGACUUCGGUACAGUAAGUAAUGGUUUGUGGUGCAUCAUUUAGCUUGUAAUCCUAUUUUAGAUGCUUGAUUUUAGUAUGGAACUUGUUAUUCAUGUAUAGUAUGAAAGUUAUUAUUCACAUGUGUUUGACAAUAACUUGGUUAAUCCUAAUUCCUAUCUUGUUAUUCCUGAUGCCUAGUGCUUUUCACACUGAUCUUGGUAGAAGAAUAACCUUAGCUGUCCUUUACUUAACUCUGUACUGAUUUUUUUUUCCCCCUCACUUUUCAUCACUCAGGUAAAAGGGCGUUCAUUGCCGGGGUAGCCGAUGAUAAUGGUUAUGGUUGGGCAAUUGCAAAAGCUCUUGCUUCUGCUGGUGCCGAAAUUCUACUUGGUACAUGGGUGCCUGUAUGUGGACUAUCUUUCCUUGUAAAUUUCUUUGAUAAAUUGAAUGGGAAAGGCAAUGCGUAGAUAAUAUUGAUUUAUAUUUUUCCUUUCAGGCACUUAAUAUUUUCGAGACAAGCUUAAGACGAGGGAAGUUCGACGAGUCACGCAAGUGUGUAAUAUUGUUUUCUGCACGGUUCUUUGUCUUUUUCAAAUUAUUAAUACCUGCUUAUGGUUUGGUAUACUCAUUCCUGUAUACAGGUUACCUAAUGGUUCUCUGAUGGAGAUAACCAAAGUGUACCCAUUAGAUGCAGUUUAUGAUACUCCUGAGGAUGUUCCUGAAGAUGUAAGUCCAGCAUAAUUAUGCAUUACUUUUGAUGGGCUUUGCCUUUACCUUAUUUUGUAGAUUUGAAGCGCGACAUAUUAUCUUGUUCAGGUCAAAGCUAACAAGCGCUAUGCUGGAGCCUCAAAUUGGACAGUCAAGGUAGGCGGUCGUUUUAUCGACAUUCUCGAGAACUGGAAUCUGUUGAUUUAGAGGGUGCUUUAUUAACCAUAAAUAUGUGAACCUUUUCACAUUAUUCGGCUGUGACAUUUUGUGGGAUAAAUAUUUCCUCCUUUUCCACAGGAAGUAGCCGAGUCUGUCAAGAAUGAUUUUGGAAGCAUUGACAUUCUUGUGCACUCUCUUGCCAACGGCCCAGAGGCAAGGCAUUCUGCAAUUCUGGCUUUUUAGUUAGUUUAUUAAUUUAAAUUUUCUUUUGAAUUUUCUAAUAAUCGGAUGAACAGGUGACCAAGCCUUUGUUGGAGACAUCAAGAAGAGGAUACCUUGCUGCAAUAUCAGCUUCAAGCUAUUCAUUUGUUUCUCUACUCCAGCAUUUCCUUCCUAUUAUGAAUCCAGGUAUAUUGCUCUAUUACAGAAAUCAAAGCUUCAUUUCUUUCUCCUGUUAGUGCUGAAUAAUUUCAAUGUACUCAACUAAACCCUGAAAAAAUUGCCUGUUUGAGGCCCCUCACCUCUAAUUAGUAAUCACAAAGUAGAAUUUUGAACCUCUUAUUAUAGCCUUUAGUUGGUUCUCUGAUACGAAAUUUGCAGUUCAAAAUUUUGCGCCGUGUGUGUAUAAUUGCAGGUGGUGCUACAGUAUCUUUAACAUACAUAGCUUCUGAAAGGACAAUUCCUGGGUAAACACUCUUACAUGGUUGAUGAUUUUCAGAAAUGUUUAAUAAUAUCUGAUUAUUUUUGCCUUUUUGAUACUUAAUUUUCUAAAACACUUUGCAGCUACGGUGGUGGCAUGAGUUCGGCAAAAGCUGCUUUGGAGAGUGAUACUAUGGUAAGCUCUUCUAUAGACCGUCAUGCUCUUCUUCUUUGAUGUUGCUUAAAACGAGCUCUUCUAGUCAUGGAGUGAAUGACUAGAAUAAACUUUGAACUCCAAAAACAGAAGCUCUAAACUAAAGCUUCUACUUCUAUCCAAAAGCAUAAAUGAAAUCUGAAUAAGACAGCCUUUUGAGCAUCUUCAGACAACUUUAUUCAAACAGCACUUUUGCAGCCAGGCCAUGCUGCGCUGGCCCUUAUUUAAUGACUCAUCUUAAUUCUGCUGUAUUGAUUGGAUAUGCAGGUGCUAGCUUUCGAAGCCGGAAGAAAAGGCAAAAUCAGGGUUAACACAAUUUCUGCAGGUAUCUUUCUCCUAUGAAAUCCUGCUACUGCACUACAGAGUUUUGUCACACAAUCUUAAAGAAGAGCAUGCAAUCCUGUGUAGAUAAUAGAGUUAUAUCGGCAAAGAAUACAUGUCAUAGAUCUACUUUUACCUUCGUAGAUUGCUUGAACUACUACUGCCAGAACUAUACAUACUGUGUAGCAUUGAUCUCUUUAUAGUAGCGUGAAAACUGUUUAAUUGAACCUCCAAAAACAUGUAACAUCUCCCAGGCCCUCUGGGUAGCCGAGCUGCAAAAGCCAUCGGAUUCAUCGAGAAGAUGAUAGACUACUCAUAUUCCAAUGCACCCCUCCAGAAAGAACUACUCGCAGGUUCGAUCUUGAGCGAAUACACUUCACUGGAUUCUCUUCUUCUUUUUCUUUCAUGCAUAAUUCUUUCCCUAACUUCCUUUUGUGUUAAAAUAAUAAUAUGUUUUACAGAUGAGGUUGGGAGCGUGGCGGCUUUCCUAGCGUCCCCGCUCGCAUCGGCGGUUACCGGUUCGGUUGUUUAUGUCGACAACGGCUUGAACACUAUGGGACUUGCGGUCGAUAGCCCGACCAUCGCGGUGUAACCAUUUGUUGUAAAAAAAAGAAAAAACAAGGAUGAGCACCUCAGCAGAAAUGUUUUCAUUCUUCUCUUCUUCUGUUUCCCCCCCCUGUUCGGCAGUGGCAUUUGCAUCCUCUAAUAAUGAGCUUGUGUUUCGCCUUUUCGUUUCAAGAACCCUAGGAAACAGGCCCUUCGGAGGCUAUAGAGUGAGUGAUCUGUUGUAGUUGGAGGUGGUUUCAUUAAUGCCAUUGGGUUUUCUUGUUGUUGUCUACAUGAACAACUUUAUUCUGCUUUUAUCAUAUGGGUGUUGAUUGUGGGGCUCAUCUUUGUAACGGAGAAAUUUGCCUGUGCGCUUUUCGGUCUAACACAUCGGAUUACGAAUCAUUCUUUUGUUUAGUUGCAGCGUGCGAAGCUGCAAACCCCUCAAAAUGUGAACCAAGGAUUUAAGUGCCUAGCGGCACAGGCCGUAUUUAUCGUAUCGUAUCGUGCCAAUAAGUUAUCGGUAUGGUGCAGGUUUCGUGCCGAUGACAUCUCUCAAAACUUUAUAUUUUCUAAAUUAGUAAGUAAUUUGCUUAAUAAAGUUUAAAAAAUUUGAUAAAAAAACAUAAUAAAUAAUUAAAAUAUUAUGUUUUUAAGGAAAAUAAAUAUUUUAUACUAUUAUAUGUUGGCAUACAUGAUUUUUUUUGUGAUCAGCACAGUUCGACAUGCACCGUGUCGUACUAUGUCAGUAAAUUUUCGGCACGAUUUUGUGUCACGGAACUUAAAUUCUUGAUGUGAACUCUCAUGAAGUUUUGCAUUCUUUUCUCCAACCACUAAACAGAUCUUUCAACUGCUGAAGCACCACUCUACUGCUAUACACUCUGCAUGCAUGUAUCUCAAUGGCAAAAAAAUACGCUUUUGUUAUUCGCUAUUCAUUGAUUUGAGUUAUUUAAUAAUUUUUAUAUUUCAAUAUUUGAAUGCAUUGACUUAUUUUUACAAUUUUCUUGUUUAACUAUAAUUUAAUUAAGGGUAAAAUUUUUUUUUGGUUCUCAAACCAUAAGGCCCGUGAUAUUUUGAUCUUCGAAUUUUUAGUUUGUUAAAAAGUUUUGGUUCAAAAACUUUUUUAAUUGGUGCAAUCAAAUUUUACAGUUCAAUUUAGUUGCCUAAAUAUUAAUAAAUAUCAUGUGAAAGUACAAUAAUUGAUGAUACGACAAUAAUUAAAAAAGAUUGAAAACAAUUUUGUUAAUAUUUAGCCAAGCAAAGUAGUUUAUGGAGCUUAAUUAUAAUAAUUUAAAAAGUUUAAAUAAAAAAUUACAAUAAAUUAAAAUUUGAAACAUUGAAUUGUCACGCACCUCAUAGUUUGAGGACCAAAAGUGUAAAUUUCCCCUUUAAUUAAGGGACAUGAAGUUUGUAUAGAAGAAUCAUCAAACAGCUUAAAUGAAUUAAAAAUUUGGGUACCGAAAUUGAAAUUUAAAAAGGGUUAAAUAAUUGAACAAUAAUGGACCAAAGUUUAAAUAAAAUUUUAUACGUUUUUAUCGCAAAAUUUAUGAUACAGCAUUUAUCUAAAAUGAAAAAAAUAAAAUAAAAUGGUAGCACAUCUUUUGGCUUGACAAGAUAACAGAGUUAGAACAAAAUAUAGCACUACAUUUAUAUGCAUUGACUUGUACUUUCACUACAAAAAUUCUCCCAAAUUUCGGAUUAGCGGAGUAGAUAAUAUUCAAGCCAGUGAAAUUGGUGUUAGAAUAUACACAUGGUCAAGAAGGGCCAAAUAACUUAAAAUGAUACACCAAAAAUAUAUCAAACCACAAACAUGAACCUAGUCGCAAGGCUAACCGUCGAAGAGGCGCCUACGCUUGCGAUGGUCGCCGGAGUUGGCGUUCUGGGGCGAAUCCUCGACCACCAUCUCAUCGUGCAUGACUAGGCCCCGGUUGCGGGAGAGCUUCCUUAUCGGUGUUCUCGGCCCGGCCCUCGCAGCUUCGCCUCCGCCUCCGCCGCCGCCGCCGCCGCCAUUUGCACCUCGAGGAUUCCUGUGCGGCAUCACUUCCUCACCAGCUACAACAUUUUCCAUCAUCAGCUGCAGUAAAAACAGAUUACGAUUAAGUGCAAAACUAGAAUUUGGCAAGCAAAACUCUUUUAGGUAAUAAUUCAGUGAAAUAACUCGAGAGAUCACGCGAAAAUUUUAUGGCCACUUAGUGAACCAAAUUAAGUCACUAAUCUAUAAUUUGUUGCCAUAAAAAAUUUCAGUUUGUUAUUUACAGUAACAUUUCAUCCAUUUAAUAACAAUCUUUUGUUUAUAAUGUGCAUCUGGAAGGGCUUAUUCUUCUGCGAGGCAAAAAGAGAACUGUGAAACAAUAAUAUAUCUCGUUAGAGGUUUGAAAUGUAACAGAAGUUACGGCGGAUGCUGAAUACGGCUCAAAAUCAAGGUGAGUAUGAACUUUAAUAAAAAAAGACUAAUGCGAAGGCAAUUAAAACAAUGACAAUCAUGAAUAGAAAUUCAAAUGGCUCAAAUGGCAACUUGAACAUGAAACCAUACAAGACAUAUUCCAUGGGUGCUGAAUAAGGACUUUUGAGUGACAAUCAGGUCUUAAAAUUAGUUGGGGUAGCUUCAUACUGAUGCUAGAAAUUAUCAUUAAGGAUUCAUCUAUUUUGCUACUAUUAAAAAAAUGCAAAGAGGAAGAAACACCUUGAAUGAAUAAAGAUGAUGACGAAAGUAAUUAUAUUUCAAUACCUUCCAGUCCUUAAAAUCAAAUCUGAAGACAAAAUGGCUGUAGGAGACUUCACCAGAUGUCACUGAACUAGCAGCAGGAGCAUUCCUUGGAGCUAGGUAACAAUGGAUCAAUAAAAUCAGUUAUGUUUAUGAAGAAUGAGCACAAAAUCAAAUAAACUGGAGAAAUGAAAAAAAGAAGAAAGAAACAAACAAACAAACAAACUUACAAACUAAAUGAUGCCCGCUAUCAUGCACAUCAAUUUGAACCCUCCCAUCUUUCACCAGGAAUGAUAGAGCAAAGAUGUUCUCUACUGUUUGUGCAAAGGAUUUUCUGUUCAAAACCAGAUUUUCGAGUCUCACACUUUUUUUUCGCCGCAGUAUAUCAAACAUUACAGACAUAUUCUUAUCAGUGUCACUUUUCACUUCCUCUGACUCACCAAGCUGUACGCCAAAAAAAACAGAGAUGAAGAAUGUUAGAACUCAGUGUUAAUACACAGACGUCAAGCGUAUGCAUGACAUGAAAUCUAUUACUCAUUUAAAUAUAAAUCCUAAUAAAACCAAACAAAAUCUAGACAAUGCUAUCUAGGAACCAUAGACCAAGUAAAAUGGCAUACAAAGUCAUCCUUCGGAAAAGCUGUAGACAUAUUUCAACAUAACGAAAUGGCAAAAUCAACCAAUUGAAUGAACAAAAUAUGCUGAUAGAACGAGCCAAUUUGUUGUUAAUUACCUCCAGUAAUAACAAUAAUAAUAAAGAAAAGGAAAAAAACAAAAGCUUAGCAUUUAGACUAUAGUAUUUCCAAAGAACCAAAUAAUAGAAAACAAAGAUUUAAGUUAUAAGACUCCAAAAUAAGUUGCACCUUUUGCAGUUCCAAAUACAGUUUGCAUAAAAUUUAGUCAUAAAAACAUAGUAUCAAACAACAUUUUACAUCUAAAGAAACAAAAUAUUGGCAAUUAAGACUAAACAUAGCAAUACACAUUGUCAGCAUAGGAAUCCAAUGGCAUCAGAUCAAAAAGAAAAAUAUUAACCUCUUCUGGUCGAGUGCUUUCAUUUGGCCUCGUCCUACGGUUUCUAUGAACUACAGCCACCUUACGCUGCUUCACCUCCAUAUUCAUGGGACCAACCCUGGCAAGAAUAACAUAAAUCAAACACAACAUUCGCAUUCAGCUGCUAAAUAAUUAUCUAAAAUAAAAUUAGUAUAGUUAAUAAAAUUAAGAUUUUUAAAAAGUCUGGUGCCCAUUUCAAGAGGGAUUAUAGUUUAGGUAAAAGUUCUGUACGUUUCCACAAUCAAUGUUUAGUGAGGAAGAUAAGAUCAAUUCUUACAUGGUGGAGCACCCAGAGGCCUCCAUGAAAACAUGAGAGACACCAAGGCCAACAUCUGCCCACUUGAACAGGUUUGGAUUGUUCUCUACAUCCGAUCUACUGAAGUUCUUAAGCAAUGCAGCCACAAAAUCAGAAGGUGUGAUUCCUUCACCCGAUUGAGACCUAACUGAUGUCACCAAUGUGUUGGCGAGGUCCAAUAGAGCCUCUGCAUCUGCCACUUGUUCCCUGGGUUUCUGAACUGUAAGUUAAUUGAACACAAGAAGAUUAGUAUUCCUGCUUUCCAGGAUUAGAACAGCUGGAAUUGAAACAUGAGGGAAGCAUGCUUUUCGGAAGAGCUGUUGGAAGAAGCACUACUAGGUUUACUAUUUAGCUCCCCUAAUUGCUUUUCAUUGCAGCACAAACAGAAGCAGACGCAUCAAAAAAUUGAACUUUUUCCGCUUUCAGCUAUCAGAAGCAUAUUAUUGCUUUCCACCGCAACAAAAGCCUCAUAUUCUAUGUUUCCAAAAGAAACAACUGUCGAUUUUUGGUGCAAAUGUGUUUGAGAAGCCAGAAAUACAGUCACUUCAUUUUCAGAAACAGUGCGGACCUACCAACAAAUUUGAAUUUCUUAACAGCACAAGGAGAAUCGUAUAGAAUUUCAAAAAACAAAUGUCAUAAGCAGCGUAGAUAACCAUCUUCUACUAAAUAUUGCUGCAACAAUAGUUGAAAGAAGCACGAAUCCGAUGCCUGGGAAACAACUUUUAGUCAUCAAUAAAGAAAAUACCAUUUUAAAAAACCUAAACUGUUGAGGAACCCUAAUUUGAAAUGGCAAAAAAUAUGACAAUUCCCAAAAUCUAUUUAUCCACCCAAAAGGGGACUCUGCAUAUUCUUCAGCCCUCGAGACCAGUUAGAUCAAUAGCAUGAUUGGAUCAAACAAUCAAGAUACACUAUCUUACACUCAAACCCAGUAAAUUUGUUCAUAUAUAAAGUAAAUUUAACUGUUAAAAAUAGAUUGUAAGCCAGUUCAUUCAAUAAAAAGCACUAAUUUAAGAAAGAUUUGUGGUAGAUGUUGCAAUUGUUAAAAAAAAAUUGAAAUUUUGAUCAUAAGGACACCGAAUUAAGAGAUCCGUACAGUAGAAUUUGCACAAUGUGAAGUAAAACCAAGAACUAAGGAACUAAUUACAACUUUGGGAACUACAUAAGAAGCACAUCGACAAGAAACCCUACCCAGCUGGUGCAAGCUCUCCACUUGGCUGAUGAUGGUCUGGAACUUAUCCGAAUCCGCUCUCGCCACAUCGUCCCUCUCAUCUGCACCAAAACCCUAAUCCGAUUAACCCUAGCUAACAAGCGAGCGAGCAAGCGAGCAAGAGAGAGAAAGAGAGAAAGAGAUCACUACCACAGAUUUGGCUCUUUACAGCGAGGUAGCGAGACCGGAGAACGCGGCGCUCCGCCACGCCCUGGCGACUCGUCUCCCCUCCGCCGCCGCCGCCGCCGCUGCCGCCGCCGCCGCUCGCCGCCGCCCUCUUCGCCGCCGCAGUCGCCAUGGAUGGAGCUCGAAGAGGGCUCUCGAGGGGAAUCGAGAGAGAGGAGAGGAGAGGAGAGGAGUCGAUUUGAAUUGAAAAGGGGAAUUGGGAUGUGAUCAAAUUUAUUGCGAGGGAGAGGGAAAACGAAAAUGCGAAAAUAGGGUUUUUUAGGAACGAACUCGAAGCGGAAUUUGAAAAAGCGAGGUGGUAAAUAUGCGUAGAGACCCCUCAUCUAUAGCAUACGCUGAAAAAGAUUCAUCACAUUUUUACAUACUUAGGUUAAAAAUUUUAUCAAGAUAAUUUUUUUAUUAGUUAUCGUAGUUAGUUAAUUCGGAUUCGACAAAAAUUCGGUACGGAUAUAAUACGAAAUUUAUUUGUAUUCAAAUUUUUAAAUUUAUUGAAAAAUACGGCUUAAAAAAGAAUGGUUCGCCAAUUAUUCGGAUACGUGAUUUAUACGAAAAUUAUACGUUUAUUAAUUAAAAAUUUGAGAUAAAAAAUUCCACUAUUAAAUUAAAUUUGUUUUAUAGAUUUAUGAUGUUAGCAUAAAUAGUUAUAAUUCUUAAUAAAAUAGUCCACAGUCCACACUUAUAUAUAUAAAAUAUAAGAUUUUUUAUUCAAAUUUUAAUAAUCCAUGACUAAUUCAUAAAUAAUUCGGCUAAUCCAAAAAAAUUGCGUUCUAUUCUGUAUUUUAGAAAAAAAUUGCAAACGAACUGACUGUUUAAUUGAAAUUUUUAAUAAUUCAGAAAUAAUUCGCGAAUUAACUAACAGAGUUAGUAUUUAGCCUUUUUAAUUGAUCUCAUCUUGUUCACUGAAAAAUGAACUAAAUUUAUUAAAAAAAAAAAUCAACUAUGAAUUUGAUAAAUUUCUUUUUUUUUUUUGAGUAGACGUGAGUGAGUUCUUUAAUCAAAAAAAAUAAAAAUGAGGGCCUAUUUCAGUAUGGCAUGUAGAUGAGGGGUCUCCAUGCAUUUUAUCCGAAAAGCUUCGGCGAUUUCGUGCGAGGGCGAUUUGACUUUCGUAGCCUCCCGCUCUCUGUUGAAACCCCGAAUAAUAUUACAAGAUUAUUAAAUCAAAUAAAUUAAAACAUUAGAUAAUAAAAUUAAAAUUUUGAAAGAUAGUAAAUUUGAAAUUAUUUAAGUUUAAUUUUGUAUAUUUUUAUCAAUUUAAAUUUUGAGUACUAAAAUUGAAAUUUGAGUUAAAGUUUAAGGACUACUGCAAUUUUAUUAGAUUUUAGCAAGUAGGGGGGGUAAUCCAGCUCGCCGUCUGCGAGCCAGCUCGUGUUUGGUUCGAAAUUAGCUCGAAAUCAAAUUAUUCAUUUAAUAAACGAGUCGAACGCGAGUUAGGAUUAGCUCGCUCGUUUUCGGCUCUAUAACAGAUCGAAUACAUAUUUUAUAUUUAUAUAUAUAAAUUAAUAAUUAUAUAUGUAUAUAAUAUAAAUUUUUACUAUUUGAUUCUUAGCCCAACCUAAAUAUAAAGUUCAACUCAAUUAUAAAAUGAUUCAUUUAUAUGUAAAAUUUCAAUCAUUACAUCAAAGGAUAACGGGUAAAAUUUUAUANUUAUUAUUUAAUUUUUAAUCCAAUCUAAAUAUAAAGUCCAACAUAAUUAUAAAAAAAACAUUUAUGUAAAAAAUUUCAACCAUUAAGUCUAAGUUUAAUGCGUAAAAUUUUAUAAAUUUAUUUUCUAUAUAUAUAUUUUUUAAUCCUUUUAAAUUCUUAUUCAUAAGCCAGCUCGUAUUCGGCUCGUGUUCAGCUCGUUUAUAAACGAGUCGAACAUGAGCCGAAUUUUUCUGCUCGAUGCUUCAACGAGUCAGCUCAUGUUCUGCUUGUUUAUAAAACGAGCCGAACAUGAGCCAACCCUAGCUUGCUCGUGUUCGGCUCGUUGACACCGCUACUAGCAAUUGAUCCGUGCAAUGCACGGAUUUUAAUUUAAUCUUUUUGUUAUAACUUUUAUAUAAUAUACAUUAAUUUAUACAAAUUAAGUUUUUAUUAGUAAAAUUAUUGAAAUCAAAUUAAAAUAAUACUAUCAUGAUAUGCUAAUAGAAUGUAAGUAAAUAAUUUAUAAUUAUAAAGUCAUAAAGUUAAUAAUUUGAUUUUAAAGGGCACAACCUUGCAUAAUAUAAAGUUAAUUUUUACCGACUGCCCCUAGAGCAAGUGACAAAGGGCUUGGUGGUUGGUACCCGAGGUCCCAAGUUUGAAUCUUAGCUGAUUCACAUUUCCAGCUAAGUUUAUUUCUAAAUAAAAUAAACAAAGCCGGUAGCAUGCUACCUAUCUCUCAAUAUAUAUAUAUAUAUAUAGAGAGAGAGAGAGAGAGAGAGAGAGAGAGAGAGAGUUGAGCUAGAAUACUAUCGGUAGUAAACGAGACAUUUUACUACCGAUUUGUUUUCGAUGAUAGAGCUUCCAAAUUGACAAUCGGCUCCGUUAAAUAUGAUCUAAACUAUUUAAACUACUUAGAAAUCAAAUUUCACGCACUUUCGAUAUUGUUCUCUUAUCCAUCAAGUGAACAGAAAAAUGAAUGGCUGAAAAUGAAUAUUCUUUAAAAAAUGAUGAUAGGAGUCUUGUAAUCAAGAUCAAGAGUAUAGAUCUUGUUUUAAAUAGUUUAAAGAAUUUUCUAACAAAAAUUCAAUUGAUUUGGAUAUCUUUACACCGUUAAACGAGAAAACGCCUCUUAUCUACCAUUAAAAUUAUAAAUUUUGAAACCCUUUGAUCAUUAGGCAAAUGAUGUCGAAAAAAAUUUGAAAUUUGAUUUCUAAACACUUCAAGUGGUAUAGAUCAUGUUCAACGGAGCCGAUCGUCAAUUUGGAAGCUCUAUCAUCGAAAACAACUCGAUAGUAAAACGUCCCGUUUACUAUUAAGAGUAUUCUAGCUCAACUCUCUCUCUCUCUCUCUCUCUCUCUCUAUAUAUAUAUAUAUAUAUAUAUAUAUAUAUAUAUAUAUAUAUAUAUAUGUAUAUAUCGAACUUUUAUGAUAAUUAGUUCCAUAAUUUUUGGUCUCAUGAGAACUUAAAUCCCGACUUCACCCUGAAACUGUUAGAAAACAACGAUUAUUUUGUAUAUUUAACAUGGUAUCAGCAUAAUAAGUUAUAAGUUCAAGUUCCAUCAUACUUCUAAUAUUAUUAAUUUUUAUUAUUUAAUUUAAAUUCAUAUUUUGGGUCUAGACGUAUAGAAAAAUAUUGAAUAUAAAUAUGAAAAGCAUUGUUCUUUAGUAACUUAAACUUUCAGAAAAUAACGAUUAUUUCGUGUUAUUUAACAACCGACAAUAUGUGUUAGCAUAUGAGAUAUGAUGGACAUCAAAUAAAUGUUUAGUGCUUAAUUGAGCUGAUACAUUGUGUGCAAGAUAUAAUUUGGCACAGCAAUAAGUUACCAGUUAAAAAAAUCUAGUACAUCUGUACAUUCAUGCAUCACAAAUUCAUAGUUUUUUUUUUUUUUUUUUUUUUUUGAGAGAGAUAAGUAAUACGUUACCCGCUUCGUUUAUUUCAUUCAGAAAUAAACUUAGCUGGAAAUAUGAAUCAACUAGGAUUCGAACUUGGGUCUCGAGUACCAAUCACCAAGCCAUUUGCCACUUGCUCUAGAAACGGUCGAUACAAAUUCAUAGUUAAAAUCUAGUACAUCUGUGCAUUCAUGCAUCACUGCUUCGUUCUUCCUCUUUCCCUCCUAGUAUUUUGAUUCAACCAUUUAACCAUAUUAAAUUGAUUCUUCCCCUCAAGAUACGAAAUUAAAUUAAAUAGGAGGAAAUUAAUAAUAAUAAAAGUCUGGCAAAAUUCAAAUUCAGGAUUUUNGAUCAUUAGGCAAAUGAUGUCGAAAAGAUUUGAAAUUUGAUUUCUAAAUACUUCAAGUGGUAUAGAUCAUGUUCAACGGAGCCGAACGUCAAUUUGGAAGUUUUAUCAUCGAAAACAAAUUGGUAGUAAAACGACUCGUUUACUACCGAUAGUAUUCUAGCUCAACUCUCUCUCUCUCUCUCUCUCUCUCUCUCUCUAUAUAUAUAUAUAUAUAUAUUCUAGGUACUUCAAAUACUCUAGAUCAAGUUUAACGGAGCCGAUCGACGAUUCGAAAGUUGCAACAUCGAAACGGCCUGGAAGCACGGAAGGCUUCAUGCUUCCAGAAACAUAGUAGCCUCACUCUCUCUCUCUCUCUCUCUCUCUCUCUCUCUCUCUCUCUCUCUAUAUAUAUAUAUAUAUAUAUAUAUUGGAACACAGUAAGUAAUACUAUUUUCAAGGUACAUUGAAACCUUCUAUGAAAUUGCGUCAUGUGGCGUCGGUGGUUCACUUGGAAUCAUGCUUCUAAAAUACGAUAUACUAGUAUAAUAACUCGUGUGAUGCGCAGAUAAUUGAAUAAAAAAAAAAUAGUGACAAAGGAAGAGAAAACGACAAUGAAAAAAAUGACGAUGAAUGGUGGGAUUCAUCUUAUCGAUGAAGGAAGAUAACAGUAGAAGGAAGAGGAAGAGAAACAGCCACGCUCACUGCAAAGAUGUGAUUUGGUUCUGUUCAAGCAAAAAAAGAAAAAUCCGGUUCAAUUCAAGCAAAAAAAAAAAGGAAAACUUUAACCAGUUCCGGGUGGAGUUCACACUCGACAUUGAUCGGUUUGGUUUAAGCAAGUAAAGAAAAAAAAAAAUCCGGUUCAAAAAUGGAAUCAUGGAAACAUAUGAAGUAUUUGGGCAAGUUUGGCCCAAUGCAACAGGUUGACCUGAUUCGGUUCAAGCAAAGAAAGAGAAAAAUCAGAUUCGGUUCGAGCAAAGAGAGAAACAUGUGUAAGACUUGAACCGCUUUGGAAGAGCCCACACUCAACAAUGAUCGGUUAGGUAUAUCUGUACCCAGUGAGAUCCCUAGAAUUACGGCUCAAUUACGGAAUGGCCCCCGACAUUUUGCCCACACCUCAAAAAUUGUUUUACAUAAAAAUUUUUAACAAUGCCAAUUUUGCACUGUAAUUAAUGUAUUAUCAAAUAAAAUAGGCCUAUGCGUUAUGAUUUUUAUAUUUAUUUUAAUGGUUUUGUGCUUAUUUAAUAUUUUAAAACUUAGAUGGGUAAGCAAUGCAUUUAUAUCAACAUAGGGACGAAAAUUAUAAAGGCGGGUCUAUUUGAGAAAUAAUUAAUAUAUAUAUAUAGGAUAAAGUACAGGGGUGUUUUUGUAAUUAAGCCUAAACACCGGGUCUAUAGACCAGUUCCAUGCAACAGCGUUUCCAAUCUCCAUUGGUAUUCCCGUUAAAGCCUCCACAGCAAAGAACGAGCGCUCAAAAAAAAAAAAAAAAAAAAAAAAAAAAAAAAAAAAAAAAAACUCUCUCUGUUCUCUACGAUCCGAUCCGAUCCGAUGGGUUUUGGAGAUUAAUUAAUUGGUAAUAAUUUCUCUUCACAUAUUUUCUUUCUCAGGUGGAUUCAUCUGCAGGUAUUUUGUUUUUUUUUUCCUUUUUUUUGCUAGAUUUUGGAGUUUAAUUUGAUGGGUAUCUCGAUUUGUUGUUUUGAUAAGAGAGAUCUCUCGAUUGAUUCAUAGAUUGGGAUUGCACAAUUUUUUAUUAUACUCGGUAGAUGAUUCGUUAAUUAGAUUAAAUUUUUGGUAAUAUUUAUGACAUUAUGCUGUAAAAUUUGGAGAAUUAUUUGGAGAAUUAUAAGUGAUUUAUGUAAUAGAAUAGUGAGGAUUUUGGUGUCUUGGUAUAGAUACCAAAAAGAGAUCUGAUAGGAAACGACACAGAAAUAGUUUUAGUGGAAAUAUGUGAGUCAUAUCAUGUGCGCUGACGGAAAAGAUAAUGAAAAUGAUGACGGUCUAAAAUAUAUAUUGGAAAUUGAACAUGUAAUCGCAAGGUAUUGAAGAGACAUUAAAGAUCAGACCUGGUACCAUAGUACCCGUCAAAUCAAUCUGAUAGAAAACGAUAUAAGAUCGUGUUAGCUCUUAAACGUACCUCAUUUUGUAUGUCGGGACGGGCGGCUCCCGUUGACGGUGGAGAUCAUGUGAGUAAUUCCAUGUUGUGAUAGUCUAGUAGACAUAUGUGGAAUUGAAUAUGAACAUGUAAUCGCAAGGUAUUGAAGAGACAUUAAAGAUCAGACCUGGUACCAUAGUACCCGUCAAAUCAAUCUGAUAGGAAACGAUAUGAGAUCGUGUUAGCUCUUAAACAUACCUCAUUUUGUAUGUCGGCACAGGCGGCUCCCGUGGAUAGUGGAGAUCAUGUGAGUAAUUCCACAUUGUGAUAGCCUAGUAGACAUAUGUGGAAUUGAAUCCGUAAUUGCAUGGGGCUAAAGGGAUCGUGAAGAUCAGUUCUGAUACCAUGUUACCUAUUAAAUCAAUCUGAUAGGAAACGAUAUAGGAUUGCCUUAGCCCUUAAAACUCAUUUCAUACAUUGGCACAGGCGGCAUGUCGUGACCAUGCCAGACCGUGCUGAUUAGCAUGACAAUCCUUGCUUCGCAUGUAUUAAGCAUCGUUCGGUCUUCUUGUAUUGCUAUAUGAUUCGGUUGCUGUGGCUUAGGAAGUUGAAAUCAUUUGUAGAAACGGGCUUUUGCACUGGUUUAGAAUCUCAGUUUCUAAGUUUGAAUAAUUCUUUUAUUUCUCGUGUGUAUCAUUAUUUUUCUAGUUAAUUUAGUAUAUGGCAAUGAUGUUCUAUUUCUGCAAUCGAAGAUAAAAUGUCUCAACUAACUAAUGGAUGCUCUGUUAUACCUUCUUCAUGGGAAAAGAGGCAGGUUAAAGAUAAGAUUGUUAUUGUGCACCUGCCAAAUCUUCAUCUUAGUGAGAUUUUGUUUUCCUUUCUUUUUUUUCUUUUUUUUUCUGGUGAUAGGUUUAUACUAGCAAUACAUAUACGGAAUCAAUCUGAAAUUAUGCUACUUACAGAGGAUUUAGGCCGAUCUAGUGUAACAACUCUGAUAUGUUUCUUUAUAGUUGUAACAACAUUUCUUAGUGUAUUCUAGAGCUCAGAUUGUCCUCUCUCUCUCUCUCUCUCUCUCUCUCUCUCUCUCUCUCUCUCUCUCUCUCCGAAUUCAGUCCCUUGCCAUAAAAUAAUCCCUUGAUUAUUGAAUAAUUUAGGAUCUUUGUAAUUAGGUUUCAGGUAGUAUAACUUGGUGAAAAUGUUGCAUUUCGUUUCCACAAAGAAAAUAGUCGAGUUUCUUUUCUAUCUACUGUUUUCACCAAACCUUUAUUGCUUUAAUCGCCACAAAGAAUUUUGCUUCAUUCUUGAGAAUAUUGUACUGAAAAAUCUCUUUAAUCUGUUGCCUGGAUCAUGGUAUUUAGAGGUACCAGUUUUGCUGUUUUUGCUCCUUCCGUUUACGGUUAUAGUGUUGAGAUUUUCAUUUAUCCAAAGAUAGGGAAGGUCAACAGCACGGUCGCAUCAUUAAAUUCAGAUUCAUGCCUUUGUGUAGAAGAAUCUUUUUUUUUCUUCCGGUAUUUGUUUUAUUUUAUUCCUUUGUUAUCAUUUUCACAUUCCAUUCUACGGCAUGCAUUUGGUCGAAUCCAUCGCAGAAAUGAACCUCUUAUGUUAUAUGCUGUUUUCUCCUUUCCUUGCCUUGAUUGACAUUGGAAACUGAUACUUGUUUCUGUUAAGCAAAUUCCUAUCUUUUUCCUCUUUCCUUUUUGUGUUUUUUUUUCUUCGACAUAGUAUUGCUGUUCUGUUUGGAACAUAUUUUGAGAAAGCUCAACUAAUAGUUGAAAUGUAAGAAUCAUGCUAUGGAUACUAGUUGACUCUAUUAGUAAAUUUUGCCCAAUUAGAUACUCUUAUUGUAUUGCACUGCUUUUUGUACUUCAGAAUUGAUUUACAUCCUUGGUUAUUGGAGUUUCCUCGCUUUCAUAGUUACAUUUUCAGAAUGUAGAAACCAAAGUACUAUUUAGGGGAAAUUUGUUUAAUUAGGCAAUGGAAUAAAGGAGUGGUUGUUCGUCGCGCAAUUGAGCACUAUAUAUAUAUAUAUAUAAAGGAUCUAGGUUAGAAUACUAAUUAAUAGCACUUAAGUCAUUGGUGCUAUUAGGUUUUCGGCUUUUGAAUUAGGAAAUGUGCGGUUAAGAUGAUAGUGAUUCUCUAGAGUUGAGUGGGUGGUUGGUUGAAUAGUAUGAUCUAACGGAUAAAAAUGGUCAAAGAAAUAAAUCUAAUGGCAAAAAACUCGAUAACACCAAAUGCUUGAUGUUAUUGAUAGUAUAGUAGCUGGACUCUAUAUAUAGACUCUGUUUUGGUAUAUCAUUGCAGAAUAAUAUCUGUUUUGGAGAAAAGCGAUAGUGCAUGUGGAAGUAUUAUCAACAACUAAUGUACAUGUGAGAAAAAUUAAUAGGCUGUAGCAUUAAUUGUUUUAUCUGAUUUUUGUUUUCUGAGGCUUGAAUAUCAUUCAUAGCUUUCUCUAAUUCUUUUCCACUUAAUUGGAGGGAGGAAAAAAAAAAGAAAAAGAAAAAGAAUCUAGUCUAGAAACAUGAAGCUGAGACUUAUUAUGCUUCUGGAGCUCGAAAACCACCUUAGCUUCAAAAUUUCGAAUGAGAAACUUAGUUGCUGCUUCGCGUUGAGAAGCUUUAUGAGAAAUCAUGCACAACCAAAGCUUAUAAAGUGCCUCAAAAAGUGCUUUUCCAUUUCAACAAUUCCUAGAGCUUGUCUACUUAGAAGCUGAGUUCCCACAUCUGCUCACUUAUCUUGGAACAGGUAACACCCCAAAAUCUGCUAGAGAUUGAUGAUUCUAACUGGGAUGAUGCAUCUCAAACAAAAUGAAACAGCUCACAUCCUCAAACAAGCUUAUUCAAUGAAGACGAUUUGUUUUUUGUACAGAGCCCGAUCAGAGUUCAUUUUCUCCGCCGAAAAGGUACAACUCUGAAGCGAUGAUUUUGCUGCGAAAUUUUGAUGUCACAAGCACAUACAUAAGUGUGAUGGAAAAUUUUCCGAAACAGGGCCUCGUCGGGUGAGGCGAAUCGCAUGUGAAUUGACGCGGCGCCAUCCCUGAGCAGAAACCGAUCACUGUCGAAGGCUUCUUGAGCUUCGCCGCCCGUAUGGUAAUGUGGGUCCUGAAAUCUUGCUCAACCAUCUUCUGAGCCAUGAAAAUAUAAAUGGGUUUCAUUAGAAUCUAGCACCAGAAGAAUGGUAUAUCCUAAAGAGUGGGAUAGAUUUUGAGAGACUACACUUAUCACAGAGUUGCAUUUAAAUGCAUUUACUUUUCAGCACAUUCAUUAAAUAGUAAGAGGAAUGUAAAAGUGUAUGACAUGAUGAGGAAAUUGUUUACCAUUUAUCCUUUUCAAAGAGUUGUAGCAGUAAAUGAAAAAAAAAUGAAAAUCUUUUUCCUUUUUUGUUUCCUUUCCAAUGUAAGUUUACAUGCAUCAAUAAGAUGUUUGCUAUAAUUUACAUUACCAACCUACAAAUAAAGUUUUACACACCACAUAGAUAUCUGAGAACAAGGACAACUGUAUAGAAGCACUUUCUUGAUGCCUAGAAUACAUUGGACAAAAUAGAACAGAGAAAUGGCGAAUCAAUAUUUACCGCUUUCACCAUCAGAUGCCUCGGCAAGCCUUGCAAUUGCGUCGAUCAAAGAUUGCUCGUGGUCCUGCACAGAAGAACAAGUCGCCUUUUAAGGUUAUUGAUUGAUUAAUUGCCUUAACUGACGUAAUUUCAAUUUACCUUCAGCAUUUUCUUUGCCUUCUCAAUCUCCAGGGGAUCAGGGUGACUCACCGCAAAAACCCUCUCCACCUGCUUGGCAUCAAAUGACAAAAUGGAAGAAAUACAAUAGUUAUGUAAAAGCGCAACAGAACUUCGCAAUUGAACACGCCCACUAGCAGCCUUGUUUGGCCUGGUUGGAGCUUCUACAAUAUUUGAGAAGAACUAGUUGAAGAAGCACUAACAGCUCUUUCAUUAAAAUACAAUCAAUAUAGCUCCUUGUCAAAACAUAGGGAAGUGAAUCUUCUCCCUUUAACGCCUCAAAAGCUCAUUUCAGCUUUCCUGAGAGAGCAAGUACUCCCCAACAUUUUGCCUCCAAACAGUUUGACUCUUCAAGAAUUCCUGCUUUUGCUCUCAACUACAGUUAACUCUACCUGAGCGUUGAGCAGACUCGAAAGUAAUGAUGUGGGGCUUCUAUUCUGGUGGGAAGCAGAAAUGAGAUUCUAAUGCCCAACUCCGAUUUGGAGCCUUUUUAUUUUGCUGCAUAGAGAAGCUUCUAAAAGGAGCAUACACGAAAAGGCUUCUAGUGCUUCUCCUAAUAGUACGACUCAAAUAUCAUUACGCCAUUUGUCGUGGCUAAAUAAGCCCAAAGAUUUGCUAACACACCUCCUUGAUGAGUGUUUCCGUAUGACGGAUUUGAAUGUCGCCGGAUCUCUUCUUCCCAACACCAUUUUGCGAAGGGAAACUUUUCAUGGGCUGAUUUUUAUGGGGCCCUCCUCUUCCGCUCCCCGCUCCUGGAAGGGCGCCACCACGGGCCGUCGACUUCUUAACCCCGCCACUUGGUGCACCCCGACCUCGGUGAUGGAUGCCUGGGUCCUCGCCCUCCCACCUGAUGUCCUCCGGAGAAAUCUGCAGCAAAGUAGUUCUGUCAAAUUACAGACAACUAGCUAUAACGUCCAAUAUUUGGUCGCAAGCUGAAAAAUAAAACGGAAUGAACAGAAGAAAACAGUUAAUCCAACGAGGACGUUUUCGAAUAAAGAGUACACAAACACAUUUAAAAGAAAAGAAAAAUCUAGGGUACAGUUUGGGUUCUGCCGUAAGGUAGAAUUUCUUUUACAAACUACUUGAAACCUAUAAGUCAAGAAACUAUCAGUUAAUAAAGAAAAUAUAGGAAAAGAAAAACUCUAACACCAUUGCCAAACAUUUUGCACCUCCCCCAAACGACGGUUAUUUCUCGAGCUUUGCUAUUUCAAAAUACUAUUCGGUGACAAAGCUAGAUCUUGCCUAAGAAUAGAACUUCACAUAAAUUAUAAAUGGAUGAUGCCAGGUCGACAGCCUACAGGGUGACCAAACUUUACCAAUCUGUUCACUUAGAACCAUGUGGCAAGUAAAUAUUCUAUAUAUAUUAUAGCUAAUCACUUGCAAACAAUUCAGUCUACAAAACAUUAAAGAAGAAAAGGAUAAGAUAUUACACUGACUCAAGCAAGAACAUUUUUCCUGUUAUAACCAUCAGAAAAGUGACAUUUAUUAUACUCCUCAUUAUUACCUAGAAGAAUCAAACUUCCACAUUACAAUAGAAAAGUUUCCAAUAAAAAUAGCACGUUCUAUUAGAAACAUUUAGCUGCUUUAGUUUCACAAGCAAUAACAUCUCCUUGCAUAUUGAACUUAGUCAGCAGGCACUACCCAUAUUUCUGGGCCUGUCUUCUGACAAUGGCACAUGUUUGCCCUAAUCUUACUAUGCGUAUAUAUCCAGCUACCCAGAUAUUCUUUAGCGAACACAUAUUUCGUAACUUUGCCCUUGCUGUAAGCUAAAUAAAAGAAAGGGUCGCAAAGAAAAAUAACCUCUUCGAGAUUGACCCACUCCCACGUCUCAUUGUUUGUGUUCAUAUCAUAUACCAGAGCAUGCAGACCCUGCAAAUAAUUAAAAAAUGGUAAGGUUGGCUAGCACUCUCUGCCACAGAGAGAAUAUGAGCAAAAGAUCAAUAACACCAACCUCAACAGGAUUAUAAUCUGUUAUUACAGCCUCAUAAAAGUUAUUAUCUUCAGGCCACCUUGUCAGGACUUUACGCCCAAUAAGAGAACUUGGUGGUUUUACAGCUUGGCCCCUUCCAUUAGGACCUGUAGAAGUAUACUGCAUGGAUUUCAUUGCAGACGCACUUGGAGCUGUCUGGCCCUAGAAAGCAAUAGGAAUGACAGACAACUCAACCCGCAUUACAAAAUAAAUAUUUUUUUAAAAAAAAAACUAGAAACACAAGCAAUACAUACACAUCCCCCCCCCCACAAGCUUGGUAUAUGCAUUCUGGUAUUUCGAAUACCCGGCUUAUCUAUGCAGGUCCUUGUAGAGUCUAUCUACAGAAAAUGUUUUUGACAUAUGAACCAAUGGAGAGGCAUGCAUGCAAAGAAAAAAUUCACUCUUUACAGGCAAGCACAAAGCAUAUCCAGUUUGCACAAUUUUGCACAUCUGCCUGGGCAUAUAUCCAAAAGACAAUCAAAAGAAAUUAACUUACUGUCACAGAUUUAGAUUUCUUCCCUCUUCCUCCGGGUGGAGCUCCCUCUUUUGCAGCUAACGACAAUGGCUGCAUCAAAGCAGCAGCUGGUUGCAAGUGAAGGGAAGGAGAAGGUGCAAGAGAGGGUAUAGAUUGAGAUGGUUUUUGCCUCUUGCGAGAAGCUGAUACAGUCGGACUUGGUAAGGGAUCAUUUACUGGUUGAGCGUUACUAACUAGACCGGUUUGGAGUCCACCAGCCUGUCUCCAUUCCCUAUUUAUGUUAAAGAAAUGAUUCAAAAUAACGAUAAGACGUCGAGGGGAAUAUCCUGUUCUGUUUUGCCAACUUUAUGUAUAACAAGUUAUUCAAAAGAGAACCUUAUUCUCCGAAUUAUGUCAUCAGCAUUGACCCUGUUUAACAACUCUCUGUGCUCGUCAUUGGAUACUCUCAGCUCCUUUCUAAGUUCGCUGAUGAGACUUUCCUUUUCCUGAAGAAAUGAGGUGGAUGCCAAACUAAAAUUAACGUCGGAAUGCAAACUAAAAAGGAAAUAAAAUAAAAGAAAAAUUAUGGAUGCCAAAGAAAAACUACUGAUGGCAGAUAAUGAAAGGGCAAAUACCCAUGUAAUGGCAUCUGACUGAGCCUUAAAUGCUCGAAGAAUUGCACUAUAUGCUUCCUGCUCAAUCUGGUGUAUUUGAAUCUCCAUAUCGUUCUGUACUCUCGGGUAUGGAACAGCACCGACUAUAGCUCUUCCAUUUCCAGUGACACGGCCCACUCUUGGCCCCCUGUUCUGGUGUGAAGGUGGAAGAUCAUCAUCAGUUCCUGCAGUAGUUUAAAGAAGCUUAAUCAAUUCAGAGAUUCAAAUCACAAGAUUACAAUUGCAAAUUAGCAGGCAAAAAAAGUGUUUAUCUAUACAAAGAAAGCUUUUAUGCAAAAUAUGGAACUUAGAGUACAAAAUAUAACAAAAUUGAAUUGGCAAUUGGUUAAGGGCAUGUUUGGCCCAGCCAAGGGUGUACUGCGGUUCGAUAAGUAAUGCUGUUAGGAAAAGCACUAAUAGUUUUUCCGAUAAAACUCCUUUCAAGAAGCUUCUCUGCGCAGCAGAAGAACAAAAUUAGAGCUUCUGCCUUUGGGUUGCAAAAUCACAUUUCAACAUCCACUACAAUAUACGCUCGACACUUAGUUGCAUGAAAUAGAUGGUAAGGAUUUUUGAGAAAGUCAUUCCCAUAAAUCAUGCUGAAACAUCACUUCCAUAUGAAGAGAGAAGUACAUUGCAUCUGAGGAUUACGACUGUGAAGUAUGAAACAAAAAACAGUACAGAAACACACUUCCUAUUGCAGAUUAAAUCCAUGAAACUUCAACACAAAGAAAUGUUCCAGUUUUACAAGUGACGAAAUCAAAAACUGUAAUUAACAUUGACAAAAAAAGUUAGUACUUAUCAUGCACACAUUUCGUAUAGUACUCGAUUCUUUCGGAUACAGAUGAAAAUGAGUUUGGCACAACAAAAUUCCACAAAAUUCGACAAAGUUAUUUUGUAAAAAACCUAAUGUUUCGCAAACAAGAUAAUCAACAAUCGCUGGCAAGUGAAAUUAUGUGAAUUUUAAGUACAUGUAGCAGAACCUAGAGCUAAUUCUCUACAUCUCCGCCCUAAACCCUAAUUCGCUGAUCCCUUAAACGGCCUUACCCAGCAAUCUCCCUAGCAACAUAAAAAGAUUAAUUUGUGCCAUCAAUUGAAACCUAAAAAGGUGAGCAGGAUCUGCGCAACUCACCGCUACUAUCCGAAGGCCCAUACUCCAUUGCCGCGUUACCUCAAGAUCGAGCUCCAAAACCCUAGAAAACGCCGCGAUCGCCACGGAGAAGCAGCAGAAACAGCGAUUCCUCCCGAAUCGGCCCCAAUUUGGAUCGAAAAACCGCGAGACUCCGCCUCAUCGACGCCGAUUCCUCCGCGUCAUCGCGAGAGCUCGAUCUUACGCCCAGCUCCUAGGGCGAAUUCGAGCGCGAGCCGUAGCUUCGGAGAGAUCGAUGAAGAGCGAAGGGGGGGAAGGGAGAGGGAGAGAGUGAGGGUUUCGACUUUCGACGGAGCAAGGAAGGGAGUGGAAAAGGCGGACUCGAAACGCAUCGCCCCCCUAGAUUUUUCCACAAUUAAGACUUCGUUUGAGUUCCGGCCCUUCCAGUAGACCGGGUCUACAUUGGGCCGGUAAUAGGCCGGAUUGGGUCCGGUCUAUAAACCCAAAAAAACCACUUUUAAUAUUUAGGCCCAUUUAACACUAGUAGAUUAAAUAUAGUUGGUGAGAAAAUGUAUAGAAAUAUAUUUUUAUAUAUUUUGUGAAAAAUAGAAAAAUAUAUGGACGGAUUGUUACGUGCUGAACCAAAUAGAAUUUUUUUUUCCAUCAUACUUUCUUAUUAAGGGGUUGUUUGGUUCCUCCAAGAAAUAUAGAAAAAAAAUUUCAAAAAUUUUUUUUUUAUGAAAAAUUUCAUUUUUAAUCUUUUUCACCUGUUUGGUUUUUUAAAAUAAGGGUUAAUUUUGUACAGAUCCCUACAAAUAUAGUUAAUGAUAAAUAUAUUCCUACAAAGUUCAACUUUUAUAUAUUAUCACUGUAAAAGUUUUGAUGUUUUCAAAUAUAUCCUUACCGUUAGAAUUCGUUAGAAAAAAAUUUAGUUAACCAUAGGUUAAAUACUUAACCCUAGUUAGUUUUUAAUAUUUUUACCCAUCUUAUAUUAUACUGUUAUGGUCUUUGGAGGAAUAUAUUUGUAAUGGCAAAAUUGAAAAAAUAAACAGUUAUCUAACGGUUCUCUAACGAUAAUAAUUCAGAGGAACAUAUUUGAAAAUAUCAGAACUUUUAAAGGGACAAUAUGUAAAAAUUGACGUUUGUAGGAAUAUAUUUAUUAUUUACUAUAUUUGUAAGAAUCUGUAUAAAAUUAAUCCUUAAAAAAAUUAGCUAUUUUGGAAAGUUUCUUUCCAAAUCUUAUUGGGUACAAGCUUUUUCAUUUUGCCAUGAAAUUUGAAAAAUAUUUUUAAAAAAUUAGUUUUCUUUGAAACUAGACAGACGGGCAGAUGAACGGAAACUGAAAAAGAGAUUUUUCCCUUGAAAAAUAAAUUUUCAUAUUUUUUAAAGAAAUCAAACACCUUUUAUAUUAGCAAUAAAUAAUAUUUAUUUAACUAAUAAAUUGAGUUAUGAAACUUGAUUGUAAUAGUUUUAAAAAUUAUAAUAAAAAAUUAUAAUAAAUUAAAAUUGAAGUAUAAAAAUAUUAUUCAUUUUAGGGCUUUUUUUUCAUUUGGCCUCCUUAAUUUUUUUUUUCACAAAUAGCUCCAUCAAAUUUAUAAUUACAGUUUUGGUCUUAUCCCGACCACGCAUGCACCACAUCAGCGUCACACAAACUGGCUGGGGAGGGGCAUUAAGUUGAACACGAUGAAUAAUUCAAUUUAUAUUUCUUCCUAUUCAAUACUUAUAUUUUUUUCAUAAUACAUAUAUUUUUUUAGACACGGUAAAUCAUUCACCGUGUUUAGAUACAAUGAAUGAAUUACCGUAUUCAACUUAUUCCAGCACCUCCACUUUUGCUCCCGUGGUGCCUACAUAAUGCCUGUGUGGCGGAAAGGAGAUCAAAAUUAUAAUUAUAAAUUUGAUAAAAUUAUUUAUAAAAAUAAUUUAAGCCCUCCAUUUUAUAAAUUGAGGAUCAGGCGUGGAAUUUGUCCUAAUGCAUUUAAAUUGAUAAAACACAUGUGGAAGGACACUAUACAAAGUCAAUUGUCUAAAUACUACUAAGAUAACAUCAACGGUUGUUACGUUAGCCGCAUGCAGUUUAUUAUGCGUCAUCUUGCAUACGUGGAACAGCGCGCGUCACCGCUGACGCAGCGAAACAAGCAUCAUCAUGGAAGCUUCUAUGCGGACCGCUGCCUCCGCCGUUCGAUCUUCCCGCCUGAAUCCAUCUCCACCGUUCAUUUUACCGCACGAUCCGUAAAGUAGGUGGUGAGCCGUGAGUGUAUGUAACGUUUUUUCUUUCUCUUGUGAAAAAUGUUUUCUUGUAGAAAAUAUUUGAUGAGCUAAUUAAUGAAUAAAGAUAUAUCUAAUCAAAUUCCUAUGCAUCCUCUCUCUCUCUCUCUCUCUAGUUUUUCUUUUUCCUUUUUUAUGAUUUAAUUGUGUAAAUUUUUAAACCAUAUUUGAAUGUCGGUGUAAAAGAUUCAGUAAUAAUUUAUUCUGUAAAUUUUUUUUUUGCAUGAUUAGAAAUAAAUAAUUUGAAGUUCGAAUAUUAUAUUCAUUUUAACAUUCAACCACACUUAUUUUUAGCAAAUAUUGUGAGAUUUUAGAAUAAAUAAAAAAAGAUAUACUAAAUAUAAUGUUCAUAUAUUCAAACAGGACCUUAACCUAAAUUAAAAAAAUAUAUUUAAUAUAAUGUUCGUGCAUCCAAACAGAGCUUUACGCUUACAUUGAAAGUAACACCCGCCGAAAAGUAUUGUGUUCUCUUUCUCUCUCUCUCUCUUGUUUUUUUUUUUUUUUUCCUUUUUUUAUGAUUUAAUUGUGUAUACAUGCACCUUACUACAAAUCCUUCAAACCAAUUUAAGUACAUCAGCAGGGACGAAGCCAGAAAUUAAGAUUUGGGGGGGCCAAAAUUUAGAUUUGAUAGGAAAAAAAUUCGAUCUCGGAUAGUAAGAAAAAAAAAUUUGUCAGAUUCACAGAUAACGAUAAUAUGCCAAAAAGGAAUAAGACUGUAAGAGUUGAAGGAAAAGGACCAAGAAAUUCGAAAGAAAAAUUAAGACACAAAUUUUGUUAAAAAAAUUAAUUUGGCCCCCUAAAAUUAAAAUUUAUAAUAUUUUAAUUUUUAUUAUUAAGGACUUUUAUAUAAUUUUAAAAAAUUUAGAGGGGGCCAUGGCCACUGUGGGCCCCUCAAUAGCUCCGUCCAUGUACAUCAGGUUGAAUUCUAAGAUACAAACACUAAAUUUUUAGACCAGAAUGUCAGAAUAAAAUAUUCAAUAAUAACUUAUUUCGUGUAAAAUUUUUUUAAAAAAACUUUAAAUAAUUUUUCUGUGAUUUCACACUUUCUCAUUUUAAUACUCUGAGGUUUAAAAUAUAUCAUUUUCGUAUCCUGUGGUUUUAUUUUUCUCUUUUUAUUAUUCCCUCCGCUAUUUUUUUUUGGUACAUCAGUGUCAAAGUUUUUUGAGAAAUAGGUAGCACGCUACCUGCUUUAUUUAUUUCAUUUAGAAAUAAACUUAGCUAGAAAUGUGAAUCAACUAGGAUUCGAACUUGGGUCUCGGGUACCAACCAUCAAGCCCUUUUGCCACUUGCGCUAGGGACGGUCGCUACAUCAGUGACAAAGUUAAAACUAAAUGGUAGUAAAGUGAAUAUUUGAUAAAUCUAGGUGAGAUAUCUAAAAUUUUUUUUAUAUAAUUUAAUAAAAUAUUAAGGGCGUGUUUGAUUCGAAGUCGGAGUCGGAAUCGAAAUCGGAAUCAAAAUAAGCUGGAAUCGGAAUCGGAAUGACUCAUUACCUAAUUCCGUUUGGUUCAUCACUUGUAUCCGAAUCGGAAUAAAUCAUUCCCAUUGUUGAUAUUUGGUUCAUGUAGAUAUAAAAAACAUAAUCAAAUUAAUAUACUAACAUUAUCUUUAUAAUAUAUUAAUUUAAAUUCAAAUUAAAAAUUAAAUAUUAAAAAUUUACAUCAAAAUUUUUAAAUAAUGUCAAAUUUUAAAUCUAUUUUUUUAAAAAAAUUAAACUUUGAAGUUGAGUGGAUAAUUCAAAAUAUGAAACUAAAUUUUUAUUUAUUCAAAUUCAAACUUAAAAUUACAAUUUAAAUUUUAAUUUGAAUCCGUAAAUUUAAUUUAAGUUUGAAAUAAAAUUUGAAUAAACUUUAUAUAAAUUAAAAUUUAAUUUAAAUUCAAAUUCAUAAGUUAGAUUCGAAAUACUCGAUUACAUUUUAAUUUUUAAUUUAAGUUCAAAUUAAAAUUUAAAAUUAUAUAUUUAAUUUUUAAAUUUUAACUCAUAUUUUAAUUAAAAAAGUUGAAAAAAUAAAUUUAAUCCGAAUAAAUAUCCAUUCCGUCCGGGUUCAACUUUCAAUCCAGCCUCCUAGACCGGAUUGAAAAAAGGGGUGAUUCGGAAAUUCCCAUUCCACUCGGGAAUCGAAAUCGGAAUGGGACUCCCGCGUACCAAACACCCAUAAACGGAUUCACCCAUUCCAAUUUUGAUUCCAUGGUGAAAAAGAAGCGAACCAAACACGUCCCAAGAGAAAAACUGCCGAAAAGAAAAAAAAUGAAACUACAAAAUACUAAAUUGACAUUUCUUUAAGAUACUAAAGUGUGCGAAAGUGUGAAAUUAUUAUAGGGGAUAAGAAAAAAGUGGCUAUUCCAGGGAUAGGUAUAAAUUAAGGUAUAAACGAGGAUUAGAUCAAUUUUACGUUUGGAUGAAAAUUCGGUUAUUCCUGGAAUAAAAAAAAUAGCGUUUGGUUAGGUAAGAUGGAAUAAGAAAGAUAAUGGGUUUUGUAAAUAAAAAAUAAUGAUAUUAUCCACUUAUUAUAUUUGAAUUUGAAUUUUUAAAUUUUUAAAUUUAUAUUUCUAAAUUUAAAAUUUUAACUUUGAAAUUUAAAAUCUCAAAUUUUAAAUUCAAAAUUUUAAAUUUUAAAUUUCAAACUUUAAAUUUAAGAUCAUAUUUAAAUUUAAAAAAAUAUAAAAUAUCAAAUUUUAAAUUUCAAAAAUUUAAAAUAUCAAAAUUUAAAUUUAAAAUUUAAAAUUUAUAAUUUAAAAUUUUAAACUUUAAUUUUGAGAUUAUAAAUUAUAAAUUUUAAAAAUUUAAAUUUUUAAUUUUUAAAAUUUUAAAAUAAGAAUAGUGGUGGGAACAAUUAAUAAAAAUAAUUUAUUAUAAUAAAUUUAUAAAUUUUUUAAAAAUUCUACUUAAAUUUAAAUUUAAUAAAAAGAAUUUAUUAUAAUAUUUAAAUAUAAUUUAUUAUAAAUUUUAUUAUAAUAUUUAAAUAUAAAUAAUAUGUAUUAAUAUAGUACAAUUAAUAAUUUUAUAAUAAAAAUAAUGUAUUAUAAUAUAUAACAUAUUAUAUUUAUAUAAUUUAGUUUAAUUCAAUUUAUAAGUUUAAUUAAGUUUAAAAUUAAGAAUUAGAAUAGCACUAUUCCACCAAAAUGGUGGAAUAGCAAAUCCUUUGCUAUUCCGGAAUAAUCGAGAAUAGCAAGAUUUGACCGGAAUAAAAUAUCCCGGUCAAAUUUCACCCCGUUUGGUGGAAUAGCGGGGAUAACGAAAGUUAUCCCCGCUUAUCCCGCGAUCCAAACGGGCCUUAAAGUUUACCUAAACUUUUAUGAUGUGAUGGUCUAAUACUAUGUUCCUUCUAAAUAUUCAUGCAUUUAUUAAAGAGUGCUUUGAGUCAACACGAGUCUCGAUCCCUCCCUUAUAAAUACUCCGCCUCUCCUCCUCCUCUGAUGAAUCCAUAUAUGCGAGGGAAAAAACCCUAUGAUAGCUUCUAACAUUGGAAGGUCCUAGAAGCUUCGACGAGGCGCUAGAAGAAGGUUCUAGAAGCUUCGGGGGCGGGGUUGGAUGGGUCGUCCGGAGGGGAAGGUGGUGAUGGUGACGGGGGCGUCGUCGGGGAUCGGGCGCGAGCUCUGCCUCGACCUCGCCGCCGCCGGGUGCCGCGUCGUCGCCGCCGCGCGCCGCGUCGACCGGCUCAGAUCGCUCUGCCGCGAGAUCGACGGCUCGCGAUCGCCGGCGACUCCCCCGGCGGCGGCGGCGGCGGCGGUGGAGCUCGACGUGAGCGCCGGCGCCGCCGCGAUCGAGGCCGCGGUGGCGAGCGCGUGGGACGCGUUCGGGCGCAUCGACGCCGUGGUGAACAACGCCGGGGUUAGAGGUGAUCACCUCUCUCUCUCUCUUAUGUUUGGAUAACUUCAUGAGUAAUGCUACGGUUACACUCUAAAGUAAGGUGUAUAUUUUAUACUCACUCAAUUCUGAGAUUAUUUUUGUCACAUUAAUUUUUUCUUAAAUUUUAUUAAAAAUCAAUUCGAUUUUUAUCAACCCUAAAAUUGCAGGUGUAAAAUAUACAUCCACUUAUGAAGUGUACAAAAAGCAUUUUUCUGACUUCAUAGGCUUAAUUACACUCUACUACUCUGUAAUUUAGUGUUAUUUUUAUUUACUGCGUUCGGUCGCAACGAUGCCCUCAUGAACAACGGCGAAGGUCAGAGGUGAUCAUCUCUCCCACCUCUCUAUCGUUUGGGAUAAAUUUAUGCGUGUUGUACCAACGAUAUAUAUCUAAUGUAGUUGGCUAAGUGCUUGACAGUUAACGCUCAAAAUUUCAAAUUUCACACUUAGUUAUUUUACAUUUCUAGCUGAGGCCAUUUUUAUAAAAUAAACGAAGCGAAUAGCUUGUUGCCUUUCUCUCACUUAAAAAAAAUUAUUUAUAUGUAUCCCUACAAAAUUUUAAAAUUAUGAAUUAAAUAUAUCUGUACGAGGCUUCAAAAUAUGCAAAUAUAGUUUUACCACUUGACAGUUGACUACCGUCAGUUGACUGUUAAAUUUUUGACAGUUUGCACUGUUAUGCCCUUAUAAAAAUUAUUUAUUUUAUAUUUAUUUAGGACUCACAACUUAUAGUUUAUAUAGGAUGAUAUAAAAAUUAGAAUAGAAAUAUUAAAACUAAUGAUAAUUUAAAUAAACUAAAGAGAUAUCUAUACAAGGGUAGAAUAACCAUGCAUAGAGGGUGAACCAACAAGUAGGGAUAUAUUUGCAAGUUAUGCUACUUAAUUAAGGUUUGUAGGAAUAAAUAUAUAAUUCUAUUAUUUUAUAGAAAUAUAUAUAUAUGAUAACUAAAAUUUUGUUCAGAUAAAAAAGUAUAUGCACAACUAUAUAUAGGAUAGCACAGGAAUUAUCCAUGCUUUUUAUACUUUUGUUUUAUUUUAUUUUUGUUGUUGUUGCUAAAAAAGCAGAAGAAUUUGCACUUUCAUUUGGAUUCUGAGACAGAAGGAAAAUGGGGUAUAAUUUUGCAACUUGGUCUCUACACCUUUAAUUUCAUUAUUAUCAUACAGUUUGCGACUGUUAAAGGCUAAACUAUUAAAAUGAUCAAAAGUUUUAUCGUAUAUAGGAUAAAAUGUUGGUCAUUUUAUAGAAAAGUUUAGGCGAAUUUUAUGGUGAGAGACUAAAUUGAAAUAUACAAAAAAUUAUAAAGAGUUACAUGUUGAAGUUAAAAAGUUCAGGAACUAAGUCACAAUACAGAAUAUAUAGUAUAUAUAGGGGGUAUCCAUACAUUUUAUCCACAGAAAUAUUCUUAGCUUUCUUAUCUAGAGUAAGAGCACCAUAGAAAAUUUAUUAUUUAUGACAAUUGAUUUAGCUCUCUCAGUACACAUUUAUUGUUUGUAUGGGGUUAUAUUUAUUGUUCUUUUACUUGGGUGUGAAGUGGGUACAACUACCUUUUGCAAACCUUUAAUGUGUUGAUCACAAGACAUAUAUGUGUUUUAUACUUUAUACUUAGUAUUCAUGUCCUUUCGAUCAGGAGGAUUCUAAGAUUACAAUCCAAAAUGGGUUAUAGUUCUAGCGCUAUUAUAUAAUUUAUAAGGCAUAUUAUAGGCAACAAUGAUAAGAACAAAAGUGGAACUUUUUCGAUGGUUUAGGGUGUGUUUGGUUCGCUUCUUUUUUACCCUGGAAUCGGAAACGGAAUGGAUAAAUCCGUUUGUGGGUGUUUGGUACGCGGGAGUUCCAUUCCGAUUCCGAUUCCCGAGUGGAAUGGGAAUUCUCCAAUCACCUCUUUUUCAAUCCGGCCUAGGAGGCCGGAUUGAAAGUUGAAUCCGGACGGAAUGGAUAUUUAUUCGGAUUAAAUUUAUUUUUUCAACUUUUUUAAUUAAAAUAUGAGUUAAAAUUUUAAAAUUAAAUAUAUAGUUUUAANGGGCUAGCUCGGCGGGCGGAAGGCGUCCCCUGCGAUGAGCUUUUUGUUGUUUUUAUAUAAUAUUUCUUAAUUCAUCUUAUAUACUUAUAUAAGAAUGAAAAUAUAGUAUUUUUUUCAGAAACAAUCCAAACACCUAAAACAGAGGUGUUUUUUAAUAGAGUAUGGAGUAUUUCAGCAUAUCAAAUACACUGUAAAAUAAAAUUUUGUUUUAUUUCACAACAAUUGCCAAACAGACCCUUAUUAUAAAGAUAAAGUUAAUAUAUUAAUCUGAUUAUGUUUUUUAUAUUUACCUGAACCAAACACCGACAAUGGGAAUGAUUUAUUCCGAUUCCGAUUCAGGUGAUGAACCAAACAAAAUUAGGUAAUGAGUCAUUCCGAUUCCGAUUCCAGCUUAUUUUGAUUCCGAUUCCGAUUUCGAUUCCGACUUCGAACCAAACGCGAAUGUUGAGAUUGAAAAUUGGCGAAAAGUUUGGAGACCAGUGGUGUAAUCUACCAUAAUAAUUAAUUUGGCUUUUACUAUACUGUUGUUGAUCACUGUUGCAUGGUUGGUUCAAUAAUACAGCAUACGAAGCAAUGGAAGUUUUAUGGUAAACUGGUGGGGAUUGUCUAAGGAUGAUGUGAUCUGUCACACACUUUGCUGGUAAUUAAUUAAUGUUUUCAUAAUCAUGAACAUGUUAUGUGUAUGUGGAUUUCUCAAAUAGCAAUUCUAGGUGCAUCGAAGUCAACCAAAAAAAAGGAAAAAAUUCAGCUGAGUAGACAACAUUAGGAGAGAGAGUCUCAAGGUUUGAUUAAGUCCUGUUAAAUAUAAAAAAUGUUUAAACACCGUUCUUUAACAGCUUAAGCUUUUAGAGUACAACGGUUGUUUCACAUGGUAUCAGAGCAGGAGGUCCUGAGUUCGAGUCACGCCAGGCUCCUAGCAUAUUAAUUUCCUCCCAUUUAAUUCAAGCCCACGUCAUGGGCCGAUUAAAAAGUCUCGAGCCCAGACGUGAGGGGGAGUUUAACAGCUUAAGCUUUUAGAGUACAACGGUUGUUUCACAAGUCCCGUUUGUUUUGGUGUAAGUGGAGGGGUGGAACUUAAAAUCUAUUACUUUCGAUAUUUAUUUUAGUGUAAGUCAAAAAUAUAGUACUGUAACUCAAGUUACGUUAGAUCUCCACUUCAUCUAUUCUCGACUUCUCCCUCUAAAGUGCCGAACUCGACUUCUGUCACACUCAACCUUCUCUAACUAAUUUAUUAAAUAGUAAAAUCUAAACUCUAUUUUUUUUAUAAUGGGUUAGAAUUAUCUUAUUUACAGUAAAUUAGGAUUAGCUUUAAAUAAUAAUGAAAAUUUUAAUUAUUUAAUAAGUUAAAUUUUAUAGUGGUAAGUUUAUCACUAUAUUCAGGAGAUAACGGGAUCCACUUACUUAUAUCAAAAUAAAUAAUGAAACUUAAAAAAUUAAUUUCACCGGUACCAAGUUAUAUCAAAAUAAACAGAAGAAGUAAUUGAAUUUAACUUUCAGACUGUACAAGUUACGUCAAAACAAAUAAUAAAAAAAUAACCACACUUAAGGAAAACUCAAAUACCACUGUACUUCAGCAUAUGGAGUAAUUAAUGCUAGGGUACCUUAGAAUGUUCCCAAAAUGCAUUCGGUGGAUCAACUUUUCAUAUGUGAUAUCUUGUUAGAUACCAUUUGGUAUGGGCAUUGCUGUGGGUGGAACAGCUUGUUCCCACCCAUAGCAUGGAAUAGGAGUGGAAACAAAAAAAUAUUCCCACCCUAAAAUUUUUUUAAAAAAAUCUAAAAUUUUAAAAAAAUUAAAUUUAAAAUUUUAUAAUUAAAUUAAAUUAAAUUAAAAAUCUCAAUAUUAAACUUUAUAAUUUUAAAUUUUAAAUUUAAUUUUUUUAAAUUUAAAUUUUAUAUUUUUAAAUUUAAAUUUUAUUUAAAAUUUAAAAUUUAAAAUUUAAAAUACUAACUUUUUUAAUUUAAAUUUUAAAUUAUAAUUUUGAAAUUUGAAAUUUAAAUUUUAAAUUUUAAAUUUGAAAUUUAAAAUUUGCUAUUUGAAAUUUCAAUUUUGGAUUUUAAAAUUUAAAAGUUAAAAUUUAAAUUAAAAAAUAUAAAUAAAAAAUUUAAAAACUUAAAUUCAAAUAUAAUAUAAGAGGUAAUAUUAUUAUUUUCUAUUUAUAACUGCCAACUAUUCCUCUUAUUCCAUCUUAUCUUUUCAAACGCUAUUUUUCUUAUUCCCAAGAACAACCUAAUUUUAAUCCAAACGCAAAAUUGAUCUAGUUCUCUCUUGUACUAGAAUUUAUAUCUGUUUCUGAAAUAAACAAUUCUUACUUAUACUUGAACCAAACAAAGCCUCGGUGAUUUAACUUUUCAAAAUUGAUGUCUAGCUCAUGUGUCAUGUCUUGAAUUAUACCAACCAAACAACUUAAUUACCGUCUUUUAUGCAGAAACUGUGUUUUGAGUAGCUCCUUAGCAUGGAUUUAAGUGCGUGGCACGGGAUCGUAUAAGAAACUUGCUGGCAUGAUAUGACACGGUGCAUUCCAAGGCAAAGAAAAUGAUGCCAUAAUGGGCCUACUUAGGUCUCAAUGGGCCUGGUUUUAUGGGCCUUCUAAGCUAAAAUCUUCGUUGGGCCGUAUAAAUUUCUUAGGGAUGAUCAGUCUUUAUCAGUCUCUUUUUAUUGAAUGAUUUCUUGAUUAUUGGUUUCCAGCUGAUUAUCGCUUUAAAUUAAAUGUUUUACUCAGUUCAAACAAUAUAUUAACUUAAAAUAUUUACACAUUGUUUACAUACUAUUAGAGCACUAUUCUCUAUUAACUUAAAAAAGUAUCUAGAGACCACGCCGAUGCUGCGAAUUCAAAUCCCUCUAUAUACGCCCUUGGGGCAUGUCGGUUAUUUGAUUUAAAGUAAACAUGAUAAGGAAUGUUGUACACGUAAGUUUAAACCAAUCGUUCUUCAGUAGCUUAAGCUUGGAAUUGACAUGUUAAAGUUCUGGAUGGUAUGCAUGAAAAAUAGAGUUUAUAGCACGCAACAGUGUUUUAGAAGUUAAAUUUGAAUGUAAGUAUCUCCUAGUUUAUGUUGUUUCUGAAACAGUACAAAAUCUGGUGUGAUCUCUCCUGACCUACUUGUUUUUUUCACUUAUUCACCAACUUUGCACGGGUAUUUGAACAAUUUCACACAUUUGCAAGGCUACAUACGGCGCAAUUUCUUGUAGUAAGUGCGCGAAACUUUCGAUUCCUGCUAUAACUUGUUAGUAUGCUCGUCUCAGGUGGCGUGUAUUCGUCGCUAGAUUGGUCUGAAGAGGAAUGGAACAUAAAUAUGACCACCAAUCUAACCGGCUUGUGGCUGGUGUCGAAAUACGUAUGCAGAAGGAUGCGCGAUGCGAAGCAGAAAGGCUCGGUGAUUAACAUUUCGUCGAUCGCUGGUCUCGAACGAGGACAACUGCCCAGAGGAGUCGCCUAUUCCGCCUCAAAAGCCGGUGUUAAUUCCGUCACCAAGGUAACAUUGAUCUGAACUUGAAACUCUGGCAUUAGCUUGAGAUUCUCUUUUCGCAGUUCACCGGAAGCAUAGAUUGAUAUGAUAGAGAUUCGUUCUUAACUUAAACUCGGUGAAUCGAAACAAAGUGAUUCGAUUUCCAUUUGAAAUGUGUGACAAUGGCGAAUCGAAACGACAAUUCUAGCCCAUCAUUUACUGCGCGCGCAGUUCAGGUUUUAAGUUCAAAGCAGGAACUAAAUGUAAAUUAAAACAUCAAGUUUAAAUUUAAGUUUUAUUGGCUUAAUUUGCAGGUGAUGGCAUUGGAGCUGGGGGUGCACAAUAUAAGAGUGAACUCUAUAAGCCCAGGCUUGUUUAAAUCUGAGAUAACAGAGGGUCUCAUGCAAAAGCAGUGGCUGAGCAACAUCGCGACGAAGACCGUCCCGUUGAGGACGUUCGGAACAUCGAACCCGGCGGUGACGUCUCUCGUGUGGUAUCUCAUCGACGACUCCUCGGAGUAUGUCACGGGCAACGUCUUCAUCGUCGACGCCGGGGCCACGCUACCGGGUGUCCCCAUUUUCUCCUCUCUAUAGUCCUUUAUGCAUGACUUGUUUUUGACUAUUGUGGGGAAUUUGGAAGUAAUUUUAUUAUAUUUUCUUUGGUGUUCAAUGUGAAAGGAGGAUGAAUCGUUUGAAAUUUCUCUAUAUAUGAAUGGGUUACAAUUGCAAGAACUAUGGCAUAGAAAUGUAGACAUGUUAAGUACUUUUUCGAAGAAGUUACACGAUUGAACUGAUGUAAGAAGAAGGAUCAGGCGGAACGGCGACGGCGACCGCGCCCUCGAGCAUCUGAGCCACUUUCCGCAUCGACGGCCUCAGCGAUGGCUCCUCCUGAAUGCACCAGAUAGCUACCAUUACAAAUCUCUCCACUCUCCUUAUGUCGAACAUCGCCUCCUCAUCGCUGUCCACCAGGAGGUCCAGUCUGCCAUCCUUAAAGCAAUCGUAAGCCCAAUAUGCAAGCACUGUUGUCUCCUCCGUUGCUGCCUCCGUCUGAACAUUCUUCCUGCAACAUACGAUCUCUAGUAGCAAGAUACCAAAGCUAUAGACAUCGACCUUCGCAGUGACCGCCGAGUUCUUGAACCACUCGGGUGCAACGUACCCUUUGGUUCCUCUGAUGGCCGUGUUGGUUCGAGUCUGGUCGGCGCGAAGGAGCUUCGCGAGCCCGAAGUCUGAUAUCUUGGGGAUGAAAUUAUCCCCGAGCAGUAUGUUCUGAGACUUGAUGUCGCAAUGAAUGAUCUGGGUAGUACACUCUUCAUGCAAGUACAAAAGACCUCUUGCUAUCCCCAAUACUAUCUGGGCCCUUUUGUUCCACUCAGGCCGGGUGCAUCCGAAAAGAAAGCUUGUUAGCGAGCCAUUGCUCAUGUACUCGUACACCAGCAUUCGAUGGUUCCCCUCGUUGCAGAAUCCGAGUAGCUUGACUAAAUUUUUGUGAUGGGUUUGUGCGAUCGACCGCACCUCGUUCGUGAACUCUUGCUCGGAUUCCUUGGCCGCCGCCCGAUCCAGCUUCUUCACGGCAAUGGCCAUGUGGAAUUCCGCGGCUAAGGCCCCCUUGUAUACUAUGCCGAAACCUCCGCUGCCGAGCUCUUCUCGAAAGUUGUCGGUGGCUUCUUCCAAUUCUUUGUAUGUGAAGACUCUUAGGUUCGACCGCAACAUGGUCUGCGCUAUUUGAUUCUUCUUAUUUUUCGUGCGAUUGCAAAAGGAGAAGGAAACGAUAGCCGCGGCGAUUAUGAAGAGCACGUUGAGGAAUCCGGAGCUACCCAAGAGGGCGGAGAUGACGAGGAUUAGUGUGUUCCGAUCCUUCUUCACUAUAGUUAUCGGAUUCUGCGGGCCCUGGUUAGGCAAGGAAGCAUCGGUUUUGGGCAUUUUGAUAAGAGCCUUCCCCCCUACACUCAUCCCUUGCUGACCAUUGGUUAAAGGCAUCUUCAUCUUCCAACAGUCCGGCAUCCGAAAGACGGCCACACUGCACAAGCAGUCGGCUAGGCAUGAUGCUCGACACAUGUCUUCAUCGGUUGGUGUGUAGUGCUCAUAGCUGUCCCCCGGCCAAUCCGUGUUUGGCAUCUCAAGGAACAAGUAUUGACUUCUCUGGUACUGUUCGCAGCUCUGCACGGCAAAGUCUGGUAUGCAGCCUAAGUACGUACGAUUUGUAUCGACGAACUUGCAUCCUAACGCGCACUCACAUUUGAGCUGCUUUGAUUGAUCAUCGUCGAGGCUGCAGUACGCAUUAAACCCGCAGGCGGCGGCGCCGCCGUCGCUGUCCGCCUGGAUUGUUUGGCAGAGGUUGGCAGGCAACAUUCCGACGGCGUUCCACUUGUCGGUCGACUUGGUAUUGUUGUUGUUUUUGGGGUAGAUAUAAAGGCGUAAUGCACCGUCUGGAUCUAGCGUGGCAUGUUGGUAGAAGUCGGUAGGGGAGUAUACAGCAGCUGAGGUGAGUGCGGUCUGGUUGUUGUUUUCGACCUGAUAAUAGAGCGAGCCGGAUGAGUUGAAAACGAGCUGUAACAUUUUGGCAUAUUGAGUACCGGAGGCCCAAUAUGCAUGGUAUUUGUGGCCGGUGGGGACGGCGACCGGGUAAAAGACCAAAUUGCCAUCUCCUUGGACUGCUAGCUCGAACCGACCUGGGGAGAAGUCCGAGUCGCUCAUUUUGGAUCGGAGUUCUGAGUUCUCGGCCAAGGACUGACCUGGGAGGAUCGUGUCGGUUGGAUUUUGAAAGCUUUGCCACGGAAAGGCUCCGCUGCUAUCAUAGAGAACGAGGUUCCCAGAGUCGAGGAGACUUACGCCGGUCGCAUUAGCUGCGUCUGGGCUCCAGACUUCCUGACCGUUCGAGUCGAAAAGUGAGAGCUGGCUGGCCUGGGUGAGUUGGAGGGUCGAUUUUGCGGGCACCUGCACCGGAUCGGUGUUGUUGGUGGCGAACCAAACGACGACUUGCGGUGAGGUGGCGUUGAACCACACGGCGAGAAGGAAGAGGGAGGAGUUGGCGUCAAGGGGCCAGAAGCCGAAUGCAAAGUCACCGGAUGGAGAGAAGAUGGAGGAGUUGGGCCCCGACGAGCUGAGACUGGAGCCCACGGUCAGGUUCUGAUAAGAUUUUGCCGCGACUAAUGAUAACCCUCGGCCGAGGAGGAGGAGGAGGAGGAAGAGGAAUAGAAGAGAAGGGUUCGUUGCAUCCGUAUCCAUGUUUAGUGGUGGUGGUGGUGGUGGUGGUGGUGGUGGUGGUUCUUCUCUUCCUCGGCUGCGGAGAGAGUAGAGUGUGGAAAGAUAUUAUAGAGGGCUAAACGUAUUGUUGACUUGACGGUUGACUUGGAGAAGAACACCACAAAAAAAUGAGUGGUGAACACCUAUGACGCGCAGUUAAGGCAACCGGAAAAAUGUACAAAGAGCUCCUAACCUUUAGUUUUCUAAAACUUUCAAUUUUAAUAAUUAGACUCUUUAAAACUGGUCAAAUAGUUUAAUAGAUUCAUUUCCUCAAUUAAAAUUACUAAUUAUAUAAUCAUUUUUUUUUUUUUUUUAUGUCUUGCUCAUAAUUUUAUAUGACUUUUAAAUUAUUAAAAAAAAUCUAUCUUUUACUUGUAAUUUUAUUGACUAAAUGUGAGGAUUGAAGCAUAGGAAUACGUAUCUAAUUUCGAGUUUUGUUCUCUUUUUAAUAUAAUAUUAGAAUAGAUUUUUUUUUUUUUUUUGUAUUUCAAAAUUUUAUGAGAUAAUAUGUAAGGCAUUUGAUUAGAAUAGUUGCAUAAUUAGUAACUUUAAUUAAGGAGAAGGAUGUGUUAAAUUAUUUGAUAAAAUUUAGGCCGUAUAUAUAAUUGUUAAGUUAAAAUUUCUAUACUUUUUUAUAAAAAGCUAAAGUUUCAUGGGCUUAUAAUUGUUAAAGGCUCACGCGUGGAGAGGGCUUUUUUUUGCAUUUAGCCUUCUGACAAAUUUUUAUUUUAAAAAUAACCUUGUUAAAAUUUAAUUUACAAAAAUGGCCUUAAGCCUGCCACGCAGGCGCUACGUCAGCGCCACGCGGGCGGAGCUGGGGGCGGUAGUUAAGUACAACACGGUGAACCAUUCACCGUGUUGUAUAUUAAAAAGAGGAAUAGAAAAUUUGUAUUCCAUUUCUUCUCUUUUUCAAAAAUCUGAACCCGAACCCGAAAAUUAAAUUAAAAUCCAAACUCGGAUCCGAAUCCGACGGAUUUUAAAAAUUCAUACUCAUAUCUAUAUCCGACCAAAAACUCGAAAUCCGAACCUGAACCCAGCGGGUUUUAAAAAUCUAUACCGUUGGAUGAAAAUCUAAGAAAUAAAAAUUAUUAAAUAUUUUAUAUAUUGUAUAAAUAAAUAAAAAUAAAUUAUGUAUAUAUAUAUAAUUUAUUCGGGUUUGGAUUCGGAUAAUAUUUCGGAUAUCCAUACCUAUUGACAUUCCCUACUCCCUAUUUCUCUUUUCAAUAUACAAAAAAUACGUACUAAACACGGUGAACUAUUCACCGUGUUUGAACACGGGGAAUGGUUCACCGUGUUCAACUUAACACACAGGCCCUAGCCCUGCCCGCGUGGUGCUGACGUGGCGCCUGUGUGGCAGGCCCAGAGCCAUUUUUGUAAAUUAAAUUUUGACAGGACUAAUUUUAAAAUAAAAAUUUGCCAGGGCUAAAUGCAAAAAAAGCCUCGCGUGGAGAAAUUGUUGUCUGCUAAAAUUUAAUUAAAAAAAUAUAAUUGUUAAAUUUAAUUAAAUAUAAUUUUGGCAUCCGGACAAAUUAUUAUCAUGUGAAGAAAUAAUACCUCAUUAAUAAAAAAAAUAAUAUAAUUAAAUAAUAUUAAGGCCAAUUUGGGUAAAAACUCUACAAGUUUUGAGCUUUUGCAAAACUGGACCACCUUUUUCGAUGUUUACAGAUUCGUACCGAAUUUUUAAAAAACUGACCAAAAUACUUAGUUUCCUUUCUUUCUCUUUUUUUUCUCUCGUUUUUUUUUUUUCCUCUUCGAAGAGGAGGCAAAGGCCCCCCCACGCCCUCGCACGUGUCCGCGCACCACCCGCCCUCCUUAACUCCGACCCUACCAAGGUUGCGCUCGCUGCCGCUCUUUCGGACGCCCUUCCUCGCCUCCGCCCUAUGCACCCUUGCCCGCCUCUUACCCUCCCCCCCCAUUCUCGCCUGCGACCCCGCCGAGGCUGCGCCACUAUCCUCUUUUUUUUUUUUUUUUCUUUUUUUUUUCUUUUUUUUUUUCUCUCCGAACCUCCUCCACCCCUUCCGUAGCCCUUCGCGACCCACCUCCACCUCCACCUCCACUACAGCAAAUUUUUCACCCACCAAACCCAUUUCUGAGAACUCGCCGUCCUCACCGCCACCGCCGAUGACGAAAAGAAAGCGCUUCUCAGCGCUAAGAAGCUCGCUGGCAGAGGAGGGGGCACGCGACCCACCACGCCCACCAAGGCCGGCGACGUGCGAGGUAGAGACAGAGGAGAGUGUGAUGACGCUGGAGAAGAUGGCAGGGCAGCGGCGAGUGCGGCUGUAACAUACCGAACUUCACAAAUCAUGAAGUCACGGUAUACAUUUAAAUGGUUCCGGUGCGGUUGCGGUGGAAUGUAACAUACCGGAUUUUAAAUAUAAAAGUGAAAAUAAAUAAAAAAUAGUAUGAGAUACUAAUUUAAAGUUUCAUAUUAUUCUGACACUCGUAGAGUGAGAAAUAGGAUCCGAAAGCUAUCUGAUAAAGAUUGCAGUUCGGUACAGUUUUCAGUGACCAAACGGGGUCGAAACUGAAAUAUUAAAAUUUCUUUGGACUUAUUNAAGAAGAACUAGAGAAAAAGGAAGAAGAAGAUGAAGUUGCAUUGUUAAGAUAAAGGUAUACUGUUUUAGAAGAACGUUACAUUAUUAUAAACAUAAG
rnacentral:lncRNA from 1 species